rnacentral:lncRNA from 1 species
UUUGUAAUGUAAUGUUACAGAGUGGGAGGCUUCUGGGCCGCUUUAUCACAUUGUCAGUUCUACGAUUUAUCAUCUUAUAGCACCGUCCACCACUACCACACUAUACUUCGCCAUACGAACUGUAAGUCCAAGGCGGCGGGUCCAGCCGUCUAGGACCCCUCCUCAUCCAUUCACCCGAACAACCGAAGAGACGGAGGGCUCGGCAAUCGCCACCAAUCUAGCGUGCGAAUCUGGUCCAUCAACUGCGACCUCAACUCCACAUCUCAGCAGCUAGCCAUGAUCUCGCGCUCCCGACUAAUUCGGGGGUCUCCCCAGGAAUCGAACCCAGGACCUUAAACCGCGAAUCGCAGUAGUGUCGCAUAUGCUUAUAGAUCGCAUAUGCUUAUAGAUCACAGCACAGCAUAGCAUAGCAUAGCAUAGCGCAGCAUAGCAUAGCAUAGCAUAGCAUAGCAUAGCAUAGCAUAGCAUAGCAUAGCAUAGCAUAGCAUAGCAUAGCAUAGCAUAGCAUAGCAUAGCAUAGCAUAGCAUAGCAUAGCAUAGCAUAACAUAGCGCAGCAUAGCAUAGCAUAGCAUAGCAUAGCGCAGCAUAGUAUAGCAUAGCAUAGCGCAGCAUAGCGUAGCAUAGCAUAGCAUAGCAUAGCAUAUCGCAUAUGCUUGCAGAUUGCAGAUCGCCUAUGCUUGCAGACCGCAUAACGCAUAUGCUUGCAGAUCGCAUAUCGCAUAUGCUUGCAUAUCGCAUAUGCUUGCAGAUCGCAUAUGCUUGCAUUUGGCAUAUGCUUGCAGAUCGCAUAUGGCAUAUGCUUGCAGAUCGCAUAUGCUCGCAGAUCGCAUAUGGCACAUGCUUGCAGACUGUGUAUGCUUGCAUAAUGCAGAUGCAUGCGCAUAUGUAUAACAUAUCGCACAUAUCGUAUAUUGCAUAUCGCAUAUUGCAUAUUGCAUAUCGCAUAUUGCAUAUUGCAUAUCGCAUAUCGCAUAUCGCAUAUUGCAUAUUGCAUAUCGCAUAUUGCAUAUCGCAUAUCCCAUAUCGCUGCAUAUGGCAUAUCGCAUAUUGCAUAUUGCAUAUCGCAUAUUGCAUAUCGCAUAUCGCAUAUUGCAUAUCGCAUAUUGCAUAUUGCAUAUUGCAUAUUGCAUAUUGCAUAUCGCAUAUCGCAUAUCCCAUAUCGCUGCAUAUGGCAUAUCGCAUAUCACAUACCGCAUAUCGCACAUCGCAAAUUGCAUAUCGCUGCAUAUCGCAUAUCGCUGCAUAUCGCUCCAUAUUGCAUAUCGCAUAUACAUAUAUGCAUAUAUGCACAUAUAUGAAACAUAAAACAUAAUCGGGGUAGGGAUCGAACCGGCGACCUUCCGUUCUUUUCGGCGCUGUCUUAAGCGCGUACGGCACGCUCCCGACCCGGAAUUUCCAAUACGCUCCGGACGCACGCACGCACGCACGCACGCACGGACACGCGAACUCGGGAUAGGCCUCCGCUCAUAACAUACUAGAGCGCGCUGUUCGCGCGAGUGGGCCGUAGCUCCUGUGCUGGCUGACUGAUCCGUCUGCGCAUUGUGGCAUAUGCUUGCAGAUCGUAUCUGGCAUAUGCUUGCAGAUGGCAUAUGCUUGCAGAUCGCAUAUCCUUGCAGAUCGCAUAUGCUUGCAGAUCGCAUAUGCUUGCACAUCGAAUGUGGCAUAUGCUUGCAGAUCGCAUCUGGCAUAUGCUUGCAGAUCGCAUAUGCUUGCACAUCGAAUGUGGCAUAUGCUUGCAGAUCGCAUCUGGCAUAUGCUUGCAGAUGGCAUAUGCUUGCAGAUCGCAUAUUCUUGCAGAUCGCAUAUGCUUGCAGAUCGUAUAUGCUUGCAGAUCGCAUAUGCUUGCAGAACCGAAGAACGGCGCUGUAUGAAACGCGUACGGCAUUCACUCCGGCGCGGAAUCGAAGCACACGGCGAAGCGGCCACAGCGCGCAGCGAACUGCAGGUUAAAUCGCGCGUCGAAUUACGCAAUUACGAAGUAUGAAAUAGGAAUAACGCAGAAAACACUUUCGCGGUCGCAUUAAGAGAAAAAAAAAGUAAAAAAAAAUCGCAAACAUCCCGCCGAGGGUCGAACUGACGACUUGGUGGACAGACGGAGGGACAGACGGACGGAGAGACAGACGGACAGCCGCCCAGCCUAAGGCCUCCGCUAGACUACUACGUAGUCCCUACGGCUACGGACAGCCGCCCAGCCUAAGGCCUCCGCUAGACUACUACGUAGUCGCUACGGCUACGUAGUCGCUACGGCUACAGACGGAGGGACAGAGGACUCCGCUAGACUACUACGUAGUCGCUACGGCUACAGACGGAGGGACAGAGGACGGACGGACAGACUAGAGCGCGCUGUUCGCGCGAGUGGGCCGUAGCUCCGUGUGUGCGUUGUACGGCGGUUAAGGGCGUACGUAUACGGCGUGUAUGACACACGCGCAUUUCGUAGGAAUAUGAAGCUUGCGGAGCCUAGCACGCAAAUGUAGUCUGUCGGGCAGUGUGCAGCACUCGCGCGGGAAUCGAACCCCACCUCCGGGUCGGCACGUGCAGCUGCGUGCCGUGCAGCAUCCUGCUGGCGCUGCAACACCCGCAACUCAGGAGGGGCUGCGGCACGCUGUGCAGCUUUCUGCCGUCGCCAUUUAGCCCGUAAUUCCGCAGCAGAAGGUUCAGCAGCCUCUUGCUGCUCCUCCACCGGCGUAUCGACAGCAGCAACCGCUUGCUGGCCCUCUGCGGACCCCCUUGAAUUAGCUGGCGCGGCUGUCUGCUGUGAUGCAGCAUGCUGCCGCUGCUGAGGUGCUUGGUCAGUGCACAAAUCACUAAACGGACGUGUUCUCCCACAACGGAACCCGUCUGCAAGCGAACCGAGCCGAAGCCGCUUCGAAGGAGGCCGAUCUGCCAUAAAGACCUAACGAUUUAACGAGGCGAACACGAGGCGAACACGUGCGAGGUGGACACGUAUACUAAUUGAGCCGUUAAGAAUAUCAGCUCGUCAACGGCAGAGAAGGCGAAAGAAGCGAAAAGAAAGAGCAAAAAACUCGAAAGUAUUUCGGCACAGUGACAAGGGGAAUUGCGAGAAGCAUCAAAGCUUAAAAGUGCAGAACGGUGCUGUAUGAAGCGCGUACGGCAUUCAUUCCGACGCGGAAGCGCGUUUUGAGGCGUGCAUCAAAUUAUGCGGUAAAGCGCGCGUUGAAUUCCGCGGCUAAUUGUACAUUGAAUUGUGCAUCGAAUUGCGCAUUUAGAGCUGUGUGAAUCGUGCUGUAUGAAGCGCGUACGGCAUUCAUAUGAAGCGCGCAUCGAAUUAUGCGCUAAAGUGCGCGUCGAAUUCCGCGGCUAAUUGUACGUCGAAUUGUUUAGAGCUGUGCGAAUCGCGCUGUAUGAAGCGUGUACCGACGCGGAAGCGCGUUUUGAAGCGCGCAUCGAAUUGUGCAACAAAGCGCGCGUUGAAUCCCGCGGCUGAUUGUACGUUGAAUUGCAUAGCGAAUUGCGCGUUUAGAGGUAUGCGAAUCGCGCUGUAUGAAGCGUGUACGGCAUUCAUUCCGACGCGGAAGCGCGGUUUGAAACGCGCAUCAAAUUAUGCGGUAAAGCGCGCGUUGAAUUCCGCGGCUAAUUGUACAUUGAAUUGUGCAUCGAAUUGCGCAUCUAGAGCUGUGUGAAUCGUGCUGUAUGAAGCGCGUACGGCAUUCAUAUGAAGCGCGCAUCGAAUUAUGCGCCAAAGUGCGCGUCGAAUUCCGCGGCUACUUGUACGUUGAAUUGCGCGUCGAAUUGCGUGUUUAGAGCUGUGCGAAUCGCGCCGUAUGAAGCGCGUACGGCAUUCAUUCCGACGCGGAAGCGCGUUUUGAAGCGCGCAUCGAAUUGUGGUCCUAUAUGUUUAUAUGUGCAUAUGGAGCAUAUGAAACAUAGCAUAUGAAGCAUACGAAGAAACAUAGCAUAUGAAGCAUACGAAGGAAAAAAAAAAGCGCGCAUCGAAUUGUGGUCCUAUAUGUUUAUAUGUGCAUAUGAAGCAUAUGAAACAUAGCAUAUGAAGCAUACGAAGAAACAUAGCAUAUGAAGCAUACGAAGAAACAUAGCAUAUGAAGCAUACGAAGAAAAAAAAAAGCGCAAAAAAAAGACGCGCGCGCGCCGGGGAUUGAACCGGCGCGAGGUGGACAGAUGGACAGACGGACGGCGAAUCGGCCUAAGGCCUCCGUUAAACCGUUAAACUACUACGUAGUCGCUAUUAGACUACUACGUAGUCGCUACGGCUAUGAGCUACGGCGAUUCAGAGAUGCCUUCCCUCCGCUUCGCUCUUCGCUGCGCUACGAGAAGCUACGGUGACAGAUCAGCCACCACCACCACCACAGCAUGCGAAAUUUAGUCCAUCAACUAGACCUCAUCUCCACACCUCAGCAGCGUUAGUAAACCUAGACCUCCCGAACAAUGUCGGGGGUCUGACCAGGAUACGAACCCAGAACUUUCAUAUACACAAAAACGCCACCAGACUAGACCAAAAUUUGCUUAGUUUCGCUACCGGGACCCGAACCCGGGUCUCGAGAGUGAAAAUCUCAUAUCAUAACCGCCUAGACUAUAGCGAAGAAGAUAGUAUCAAAUUCGGCACACAAAUUGAUAUGUCCCCUCCGUAUAGUGUGAGUUUGCUGAGCUGCAGGGUUCGAUUUGUGAGUGUGUAUGUUGUGCUCGGCUUCUGUAGCUUCAACUUGGCAAUGGGUUUUGGCCCUCCGGUAGCUCUGUUUUUGUGGGGGACAAUGUCUGGCUUGCUUAUUAGGCCCUCACCUGCAUCGGUAUUUUUGCCGUGUUGGAGCCCUAUCCGUUUUAAAUGAAUCCGAUUGCCAUGGUGUUAGUUUUAUGUAAUGUUAUGUAAUGUAAUGUUACAGAGUGGGAGGCUUCUGGGCCGCUUUAUCACAUUGUCAGUUCUACGAUUUAUCAUCUUAUAGCACCGUCCACCACUACCACACUAUACUUCGCCAUACGAACUGUAAGUCCAAGGCGGCGGGUCCAGCCGUCUAGGACCCCUCCUCAUCCAUUCACCCGAACAACCGAAGAGACGGAGGGUUCGGCAAUCGCCACCAAUCUAGCGUGCGAAUCUGGUCCAUCAACUGCGACCUCAACUCCACAUCUCAGCAGCUAGCCAUAAUCUCGCGCUCCCGACUAAUUCGGGGGUCUCCCCAGGAAUCGAACCCAGGACCUUAAACCGCGAAUCGCAGUAGUGUCAACCCAGACCAGACCCCAGUUUUAUAUAAUUUUGCUAUACCUGGUAUUGAGCUAAGGCCGCCUGUCUGUCUAUCCGUUUACCUGUCAAUUAGGCUAGCUGGAUGGCGCGUACGGGCUAGGGUUCGUUGCAUUGCCAGGUAACCACUCGUCGUACCGUCAUAUGGAGUACGGCCUGCAGAAAGGCAAUUUGCUGCGCACACAGUUCUGACGAGUGUCAUUCCUUUGCCGUGGGCAUAUGCGUGGGUGGCGUAGGUAGACACCCGCGUACCCCCCAGGCUGGCGCUGGGCAGCAUCCUUUCUUUCAGGAUUUCCCUCCCACACGACACAGUACUAUUUAGAUGGUGUAGCCUUCCGUCGUAGCCACAUGCGUGGCUUUUAGGCGUUGUAGUAUUGCCCUUGGGCCUUCGGCUCGUAUGGGUAGUUUUACAGGUAUGGGGUCACGCACCCCCCGACCAUGUAACACACACACACACACACACGCACACACACACAUGCACACACACACACGCACACACACACACACACACACACACACACGCACACGCACACACACACACACACACACAUGCGGCAUACGUGCGGCCUUGAUGCCACAAGCAGGCAAAAGGAACACGACGGUGAGGAGCAUGCUACAUCCUACCUUGCCUCACCAAUGGAAAAGGAUUCUCGAGGCGGUGACACAGAUCAUCUCAACAGUCAGCAGGAUGGAGACAAGAUACAACAGAGCGGAGCCUUACAAGAAACCCAGAAACACGGCGGACGCAAGGACUUAGAAAUUGCCGGAACGAAUCAAUAAUGACGCAUGCAUGCAAUGCAAGCGCAAAAAAUUAAACCGGAGCGUUGCUCUGAUUUAGGUUAACAAUCUCUUGCCACUUAAUGAAGGGCUAACCAGGUGCGCUUCUGUCUUUUUCUAUCUGGCCCUGCCUGUAAAGCAUUCAUUACGCGAUCGGAAUGUUACGCGCGUGCGAACUGGGACCCGGCACUCCGACCUCAGCUGAUGGCGCAACUGAUCACGGACAGAUACACUGGCGGACGGACGGGCAAAGGGGCGGAUAGAUCAACUACGGAUAAAAAGACGGGUGGAGAAAACACCCCGCAAUCUUGCCAUGUUCGACGGCAAAAAUAAUUGUCCGCGUUACCUGCGCAUAACCUAUCCCGGCUUCUUUGCGCCCAGGCAUAGAGGUUUGGUAGCCCGCUGUAACAACAACAACAGAAUCAUACGGCAUGCAGGUAUUAUUAACAAUCCCGCUCCGGUAUCCAGGUAGAUUCGUGAUAGUCUCCGUAUUAACUACCAGCGCGUGCGUACGGCAUAUGGCCGUUCAAUUUUCAGCACUCACGCAUGUGUGUCAGAGAGUGUGCGUGUGUGUAUGAGAGUGUGUGUGUGUGUGUGUGCCGACACCCCUGCUGAGUCCCUAUUGGACCCCAUUUCCCAAUCGGUCCUUCACGUACAUCCACGCGAGUGGUUCUCGGAGUACGGCAAACGAAUUUUGUCACAGCGGAUCUCAAAGAAUACGCGAUACAAGCCAAAUAGUCCUAGAUCCGCCUGUCGACAGGCCUGACGUGGCCUUAACUCAAGACGCGCACCUUCGCAACCUUACCAGUCCAAAUCAGGCAACAAUUAAUAAGAUAUGUUUUUUAAUGAAUAAUAAGCAAGUGCCUGACGCAUUUUAGAGAGUUGGGAAGUGAGCUAGUAGCACUCCACCUGCCUGCGCUUGCAGGUAUGUAUGUAUAUGUGUAUGUGUGUAAUCAUGAUCUGAGCCGCGAUAAGGAAAAUGCCGAUGGUGGUACACAAAAACGAAUAACGUUACCGUAGCGAGCUCCGAAUAGUCACCGACGACGUGUUGGACUUUUUCCAGUAUAAAACUGUAGCGUAGCUUAAAGCUUUCCAAAACAGGAUCGUGAUAUCAAAAGCCCAUAUAGGGGCUGUCCCAUACAAACGUCGGCUAGACAUGAUGUUGGAAUCUACAAAUCUUUAGGGCAUCCAUGCGCCUUAACCACAGAGGCACAAAGCAGCCGGCCACCCCGCCUCGUAUGCUCGCGUGUGAUUGCCCACCCUGCCGCCGAGGGCAUUGGCUGCUUGAUUGCGGGGCCCACACGGCCCACAGGUACACCCGCACGCAUUCACUGGAAAAAAGAUGUAAAAGGAUCCCGCUAAGCAACGCAUCCGUCGCUGCCAAUCCAAGCAGAGCAUCAUGUAGAAGUCAGCAACUCGGCAGAAAUAAAAGUCAUAAAACACGGUUUCUGCAGCAAUACCCAGUUCGUCUUGGUCCAAAAGCAAACUCCAACUCGCCCACUCUUCUUUCUGCCGAUGCGCAUCACGAUAUGACUGUACGGCGACACACAAGGACCAACUUGCCGUGAGCAUGCUAACUUCGAUGCAGACUCAUCACAAAAUCGAAGCCGCCACCGCCGCCGCUGCUGCCGCCAAGCUGUCGAUCACUUACCGGUGGCCUUAAUCACGCUGGUACGUAUUGUGCUGGUAAGCAUGCGAGCGCAAGGGGACACGAGAGUGCCAUCCAAGUGUCACCCUCCCCCCAGCUCAGCAAACUACCCCUGAACCACUACUUCACAGCUAUGAGCACGUAAAUCCUGGUUCAUAGUAAGGUACGGUGCCGCCAACCCCAUAUCUGCCCGCAGACCUGCGUGCGGUGCUUGCGACUGAGUCACGUAUGGAGUGCUCUGUCGUGCAUCCCUACAAGCCAGUCAAUAUUUAUAUGUUUCUGCUGGAUAACUGAGAUCACAUUUGCGUGUACAUGGGGCUACACACGCUCUCGUUCGCCUGGGUCUCGCGGGUAUGGACACACACACACACACACACACACACACAUACACACACACACACACAUGUCCGGAAGGUCUGCCAGCAACAGCAGGCACAUCCUGCGCCGCCUUUUCCUUUACUGUAUGACGCAUUUCUUAGGAGUCCUCUCAUUUAACAUCUCUCACAUUUUAGCAUUCAGGGUGCCGUACGGUGCGGCGCCGUAUGCAAGGCAAAGAGCUUGCUCUCUUGACGCAGCUGACGCAGUAGCAGUUGUAGCUGCUGGAGAAGGAAUACCGUCUGAUUCGCUGUAGCUAUAACACCAACUACAGAUACUCAGCUACAGCUACAUAUGCCACCGGAGGUUGCCUGGCCGCUGGUUGUUGUUAUUGUUGUUGUUGUUGUUGCUAAGAGCCUGCACGAAGGCCGCACGGCCCACUUUGGAGGUUGCAGGCAAAGUAAGAGAGGGCAAUAGGGGGGGACACGAACGAUUUAGAGGGACGGCAGACAGGUAGAUGGACAGAGAGACACAAACGGAUAGACGGACAUACAUACGAACAUACAUAUAUACAUACCGAAGGACGGACAGAUGCAAGAAGUGGUUAGAUAGGGCAGACGUUUAGGAACCCGAACGAACAAGUGGGACAGCGGAGCCUCCCCAGCAGCUCCUGAUGCAUGGUUUUUUGCAUCGCAACACAGUCAUGUUCGUUUGCAUCACAUGUAUAAACCUUGUCAGUAAGGCGUCGAACAUGCAUGCUUGCGAUAUGCAUGCGAAUGUGGUUCUGAGCACGGCAUUAGGGUUUGGUUAGCACGCCGCCACCCCCACCGCCACCACCGGCAAGACAAGCCGAAUAACCAUUAUAAUGAUAACCCCUAAACCCAUCCUGUCUCCUACGUCGCCCUCAGCCCAUUCAGGGCCUUUCCCAAGUGCCCUGGCCACAUGCCGAUAGAUCUGCAAGAUCUGGGAGCUCUUUCCAGUCUACACAAUACUCAUCAGUCUCAUAACCUGAUCAAAAGCCCCAGGUCGCCCAGGAGCUGCCACCAACCCUGCCAACUGCCAACUGCCAACUGCCAACCUACCGUGAGCCGCCUCCCGCAGCCUCUGCACCACCUUCUGGCGUUUUUCUGGGUCUCUAAGCUUCUCCAGACCCACACAGGGCAGCUUGAGCGCUUGGCCAGCCAGAGACGCCAAGGUCGGCGCGGCGGUGGCCAGGGCAGGCGGUGGCAGUAGCGGCGCCGCCGCUGCGGCGGCAAGUGUGCCAUCGCCACCGCUACUGGCCGCCGGAGACCUCGAGGCAUCACAAUCUGCCCAGCUUUCCACUGAUAGUUAACAAGGCAGAGUAGAGAGGAAGGAAUAGAAUGAGAGUAAUUUAGAACGUAAGGGAGUAGGAUAGGAUAGGACAACGUGGCGCGGACACAGUCGGAGGGUAGGUGAGCGGCAUCAUUUCAGGCAUAUAAACAAGCAUAUCGGCGCAGACCUUUGUCGCCCUGGGCUGAGUCCUAGAUUCAAUCACGGACUUGCAGGUUCAGCCCAGAUCUUAUUUUAGAUGUUGGCUUAAUGGCUUAGGUCAUGGCUGUGACUGCAGGGCACGGGCCUAGCUACGCAUGCUCAGGGGCUAAGCUACGCGUGCUUUAAUAGGACACAGUCGGCUAAACUUAUAGCGGGUAGAUAGAUCACCGGCGUGGUACGAUUUCAGGCUAAGCCAAGCAAUGGUCUGGUCUGGUUGAUGCUUGGUUAGGUGAACUGCUUUAUUUCUCGACAAGCCAGCCUAGCUAGGGCUUCGAUUUGCCUUACAUUACAGGCUAACCUAGAGCACAGACUCAGCUAGGGCACACAGUGCUAAUCCAGCCAUGCGCUUUAUGCCAUCGGAGCACCAAGAACUGGUCAGUCCGGUUCAUCGUCUAUAGCGCCGCGUUUAAAAAGCCCAGAAGCCCACCACCCUGCCGCCGUACCCGCUCUGAGCCGGCCAACCCCGUUGGCGGCGUUUUGCAGCCGCUGCUCACAGCGCCGUGCCACCUGUCGCCCUGGAUCAAUCAAAUCCAAAAGUGGAUCCAAGAUCUGAUCCAGAUGAGCAAAAUCCAGCGCUUGCUGACCCUUUUCCCGACCGCCGCCGCCGUCGCCGCCGUCACCGCCCUCGCCACCCUCGCCGCCGCCGUCACUUCCCGUGUCGCCUUCGGUUUCGCUUUCACUCCCACUACCGUCGCCACUGCCACCGUCACGGCCACCGCCACCGCCACCGACGCGGUUGUACUCGCCCAUCCCUUCCUGGGCUGGAAGCGCCUCAAUGCUUUCGAAGAGGCGCAUUCUGGACACGCAGCCCGGAACAGAAUGCGUGGGCUUUCGGGUGAGCGGCAGCAUUUGCGAUUCAUUGGCUCCGGUGUUACUGUUGCUGCUGCUGCCGUUGCUGCUGCGGAACACGCCGUAGCAGCUCUGACGCGACGUGGAGGUGCGCGGUAGGACCGGCGCGGAAGUACGCUCGACUACAUGCAUAUGCGUGCCGUCGCCGUCAUCCUCCACCAUGGGGUCCAAACUCCAUAGAGACGUGGCCCGACGAACGCCUUUGCCGUACCUUCCGGUUGCGCGUCCUUCACCCAGAACCCACGGCGGGGCUUGCGAUGACGACGGGCUGCUGGAGGCGUUGGCGUCGCCUUGGCUUUCCACAUUGCGGUGCUGUGUCCCGAGGCUGACAGAUCGCACUAGCAAGGUGCUGCUGCCGCCGCCGCUGCAGCGGAAGCUCCGACCGCUUAGCCCGUAUGGGAGCGUAGCAGUGGCGGCGGCGGAGGUUGGCGCGUCUUCAUCUACACCGGCAUCUGGCAGCGGGAUUCCGCACAGCGCGACUUGGGACGCGCUGCUAGUGGCACGGGGCUCUCCGCCGUCGACGGCAGCAGAACGCCACAGCUCAUCAUCAUCAUCGAAACUGCGGUAAUACAGUUGCUGUGGUUGCGGUGACGGCUGUUGUUGUUGGUGGUGGUGAGGAUGUUGUUGCUGUUGCUGUUGCUCAUUGGGACGAAAUGGGUGCGCGCUUGAGUUUGGAUGGGCGGCGGGCCCUGCGCUGCCCUGCCGUUGCCGACGCUCCGCUGUGUGCGGCGGCGUAGCUAGCACCGCAGUGGCGCCGCCGCUGCCGCCGCCAGACGCUAUCGGCGCUGCCUCUCGGGUGUUCGCCAUGCGGAAGCGUGCGCUUGCAUUGCUGGGCACUGCAGCAGCGGCCGAGGACGACGGCGUCGCCGGGCUGCCGCCCCCGGAGCUGCUGCCACCUCCUGAUGUGAGGAAGGUUCCAGAAGUACCUGCCAGGACGGACGCAGACAGGUGACCGCGACGGACACCCAAGGUGCUUUGCAGCGCUAGCGGCGAGGCGGGCGGUGCGGACAAGUGUGGGAAUGACUGCGGUGGCGGCUGGUUGGACGUGGGAUUUUGCGAGGAUAGGGGAAGGGGGCUUGGGGCUGCUCCAGGGUGGCUAAUCUUGGGGAGUGCCGGCGGCGACGUGAGGGCAGCAGUGACGGCGCUUGAGUUCGUACUGGAGGUCCGUAUAAGUGGCGGCCGGCGGGGCGGCGGAGGCGCCUCCGGUGGCGUCGGGCAGUACGGAGGUUCCGGAGCAAUGCUGCUGCAAAUGCUGCCGUCGACACUUGUACUGGGAGCGUGCUGGUGCUGUUGGUGUGGAGUUGUGGCGACCAGCGGGGCCCCGCUUGCGGAAAUAGAUGAAGUCGGGCGGGAAUUGUCAGGGAAGGCUGCGAAUGGGGCUCCGUUGAAUCCGCGGAGGGUUCUGGGGAAUUGGAGGCCAUGAAGGUCCACAGUUGCGCGAGCCUGCUUGCAACAUGGGUGUGCGCACCAGUUGGCGUGGACGAGGUGCUGUGAGCCGAGUAAUUUAGUUUAGCGUACAAGUUUAAGUGUUGGAAAAAUAUUUAUUCGUAAAAUCCUUCAUAAUAUAUUGAUAGCAUAUUAUAAAAUGAAGUAUCGACGUCUUCCCGAACAAAACUAGGCAGGUCACACAUUGCACAUGAAUGCUUGCGUCCGAUGUGACUUACCACAUCUUCACCUUGCUCUUCUUCAGGCACAAUAAAUCCAAUUGUGCGACUACUUGUGGAACGGCCUCGCAUCAUCCCAAGCCGCGGCGCAGGGUGGUCCGUUGAGUUGUCACCUGUUGAUUGCACAUGACCCACAUUCCGCGGACCGGAUAUGCUAUGCCUCUGACGCAUGACCAGGACGCCUUAAGAUAUUUUGAUGAGCGUAAUAUUCGCGGUUAUCUGCGUUGUAGGUUCCUGUUCGUUUCUGAUGAGCCGGCACAGUCCUGAACCUCGCGAACUACAGUCCAGAAAGACAGCCGUAGAAGCCUACUAGUCCGUUGAAUGGGCUGGGAGAAAUCCUCAAUAGGUACAUGAACCGGUACACAAAGGGUAGGCUGGCUUGCCUGCGAGCCAGGCAUGAGAGGAACAGUUUGCAGGACUCAGUCUUGCAAGCGUGGAAAUAGUUUGAAUUAAAUUCAAUAAGUUCUUAUUCAAUCUAGUUACCACAGCAUACCUUCGCGGAAGGCAUAACCCAACAUGGCUCGAACAUGUCGAACAACAUUCCCAGGGCCGAGCCUACCUUGAGUUUUGCUACUUUAUCCAAUAUAUGCCCAACACAACUUUAGGGCCCAGCGUUGAUCGUGUCGAUAGCCUCGGAGCAGACUCCUUCGUUGUCCCUGUGCAACAACCGUCAUGGUUAACGUUAAAUAUCAGUUCACCAAGAAACAUGCUGUAAUAUGAGUGCGAGCUGUGUGAUGACAGAUUUCAAACAAAGCACUAGGUCGGCGGUACAAGUAAGGUAGGACACCGGUCAAGUGAUGCUCGAGAUGCAGGCCAGCGAGCAGGUCAUGAGGCUUACGCUACUAGCAUAUCACAAUAAUUAAGCAGUAUGCAUAUCUUAUCACACUAUUUGCAGAAGGUGUUACGCCUGUCUCUGCGUACCUUCUGAACGUGAUGCAGUCAAGGAAAAGCCAAUCGAAAUAUUUAACUUUGAUGAUAUGUAACUAACUUGUAUUAUUUCUUGCCUGGCUUCAGACUGAGCUGCUUGCCCGUCGAGAGGUGGUUUCCGGUACAUGUACGAGGCCCAAACAACGCUUCUUCCUUUGGUAAUCGCAAUAUGUAUUCAUACUUGCAUCUUGUAGCUUAUCAUGAGAUAUUAACGUAUAUAUUCGUAGCAACAUUAUGCGCCUUUCACAUGUCGGCCUUGGCCUGUAGCAUGUAGCCCGCCUGCACGGGUCGCAAGAAUUAAGCACAUAAUUAUUAGCAUAACCAUUAGCUAUGCGCAGCCCUCUCCAGUGGUAUCGAUGACGUACAUGGUCUGCAUUGUCGUGCAGAAUGGCAAACCCGUGAAUUUCUUGGGAUUGUAGUCAUUAGAACAGUCAACAACUGGUACCUUAUCAUCCUCGAAGCCCCUUGCCUUCAAUCCUGCAAGACCCUACACCCUCCACAGCAUCUCUGCAGGCUUCUCUCCGGCAACCAGGGCUUCAAGACCCUGCAUCAAUCUCCACUGGGACUGUUUCGCGUCCAAACAAGAGCCUCCCCACACCUUGACAUCCCACGUGGCACAUAUACACUGUUCUCAGACUGUUUGUUACGUACAGGGUCGCUGCGGCGGUGGCGGCGGCGGCAAGUGCAACCCAGCCUGAGAGCCACACCGCGCGAUAAGGCGCAAGGCAUGGCUUGGUUGGCCUUACGUCUCCAUAAACCCCUAGGAGAAACCCGUGCCUUUAGCCAGUUGACUCCUGCUGUGCUGCCUGCGCAGUGCUGCGUCGGGCUAGGAGCUUUAUUGCAAGUUCACAUUAUUCUUUUAUCACGUUUUUAAUCACGUUCAUAAGGUUGAUGCACAUAUGUCGAAGGCUCCCGCAGGCUCCUGUUUUUCCAAGGGGAGGGCUUGGUUGCGCUCCAGCCGAGCGUUUCAUGCACUGUUUCCGAUGUGUUGAAUACGCUUCGACUUCUCGAAGCGAAGUUUGACUGUAGAGAUAGGCAAGUUGUUGCGAAGGAGCUACCGUGGUGCGUGGAAGUAGGGCGCAUGCAUGCAUGUGCCGGACCACAGUACGGCAGAGGGACGCCAAGCUCGUACCUGGGUGACUCAGGCGCAUUGGUUCCUUUAGCUGCCGUUGUUUUGACUAUUAUUACCAAGAGGUGUGUCCCGCUGCUAGGACAGUGUCCUCUACUUUUCCCCGCACCCACCCACGGGUCAGUAUCUUACUAAUUGUCCUACAUUAUUGGUCUAAUCUUGGAGUACCCGUCUAUGUGCGUUCUCUCGUCAAUCGCCUGUGCCUCGUAGUACCCCCCACCCACCCAGGGCAAUCCCGGGGGUUGCCACAAUGCAGCGGUUCCUGGUUUUGUCCCUGCGGGCCUCGGGUGGGUCGCCCGUGCGCUUGAGGUCCUAGGAUUCGGUGCAACACAGGUAACUGUCAUUACUAUCGGCCACUAGUGCAACUUUCACAACGGGUUGGUAGUGGGAGGGGGUUUCACAGCCGUGUUGUUUUGCUGCCAAAUUGUGCUGGCGGUUGGCGGCUUAGCUAUUGUAACGCAACACGGCAGGACUGAGCAAUAAAUCCGUUUCGCAUAUGGCACUGAGCAGCUCACAAGUUUACAGCACUCCCUUCGGCGCCAUUCAUUUUCUCCGCGCUUGCAGUAUCCCGAGGAGGAUUGCCAAGUAGUAAUGGAGCCCUGAUCCGCCCUGAUCUGAACACAAGUCCUCGUACAGUUUCGUACUGCAGCAUUUUAGCAAACUGCCAACAUCCAUGCAUCAGUUUUCAUCUUUGUUUCUAGUUUGGAGAAGAAAGGAUGCUUAGCGGUUAAAGUUACGCCUGCCAGGACAGCACCAGCAUUCUGUUAAGAUACGAGCUGCCAGGGUCACACUUCCUGGCAGCCUUUGCAAAUUGUUAUAGUUCAUGCAACAAAAGCUACGUGACUGAACCCUUGCGAGGGCCAAUAUACCUUUAUUCAGCAUUACGUCAAGGACGAUCAAGCUCAAUUGGCCAUCAAACAAUUUAAAAGGCGUAAAUAAUUUCAACAUCAAAAUUGGUGUUUGGGGGACGCAACACUAGAACCAGUUGCCGGCAGCGAUUAAGCUAUGGAGCGCAGUUUCGGAGCGGUUCCGCUCACCGACGCACACGUUGCAGAAACUUGGACGGGAGCUAAUAUCAGCGCUUCACCAGUUGUUGAUUUGGAUGCGAUCAAUGGCAUCAGCGUCAACACCCACCACGGUCGCGGGAUUGCGAAUCCAUGUCCAUUACAUUCCUUCCCCGACGCAGGAGGGACACCGGUGGCCCUGAGCUCCCUCCCAGAAGAGCCUGGAUCUACUGAUACUGCUGAAAUCCCAGCUCUCACUGCUGUAGAUGGAGUCCCAGCCUCUGCCGCUGGCCCGGCGGGGCUGGUGGCUGCUUGCUCGAUGGCCAUGGAGCGAUACGCGCCUCCGUCUUCUGCGCCGUCUGACCCGAACGACCCGUCGGCUGGCCAGCAGCAUCCGGAUCAGCAGCAGUAUCCUUAUCCUGAUGAGCGGCAGCUCCUAGAGGAGCUGCUGGGCUAUAUGUCGUACCGGAACGGUACAGGCAGUACACCUGUUGAUGAAACAUCAAACUCAGAGGAGGAGGAGGAGGAGGAGGAGGAGGCGAAGGUAUCUGGAUCUGCCGAUGUGGAAGUGGAUUUGAACACGGAGGCGAAGGAGUCUGGGGCUGGUGCGUCAGAGGAGGAGAAGUCAGGCGGGGUAAGGUAGCAAAGCAGGGGCCCAUGCAGAUUUGGUCAACAGAAUUCCGGCCAACGGAUUUGGUCAACAGGAUUCCGGCCAACAGAUUUAGCCAAGAUAGGGGGGCAUUGUGGGCGCGGCAGCCUCGAAACUCCGAAUGCUAUGCGGCACUGAUGGUCCAAUGGCACGGAUGGACUAAGUUCCGAUCGAUCUUAGACCGAAUCCGGAUUUGGAUCUGAAUGAUUCGAUAUUUCGGAUUGUCCUGCAGCUGCCGCCUGCCGUCCACAUGGCUUUCUGAGAGGUGUUUAAAAAAUUACGAAUCCGCUGCUAAAUUAAGGAAACCGCACCAUAAUGUUGUUUAUUCACAAAAUUGAUGUCGCUUGGGUCGGGAAUUUUACCCACAUCAUGACUCGGCCACCGGUCUUUGUGGAGAUCUGAGUGAAAAGGAUGAUCCUUGAUAUGUACAUAAUUGCACCGGACAAUAUGAAUCGUACCUGCCACCGCAGGGGGUGUCGGAGCUGGCACUGUCACCGUCAGGAUCGCAGCCUCCGCUGCCGCCGGCUCAGCGACCUUACCCAUGGCGCAGCGGUGCCGUACAGCAGCCGCCGCCGCGGCGUCGCAAGCGACGGACAUAUAUUCCAGAGGAGGCGGAUCCAGGGGAUGGAGCAGCGGCCGCGGCGACUCCGCCGCCACCGCUACAACUGGCGGCGUAUGCCGAAGUGCCGUUGCCGCCGCCGCCAUCGUUGCCGUACCCUGCUACGGCCGCCGCCGCUACGGCAGCGGACGCCCAACUACACGCCCACCUAGAGCGGGUUGCGGACUCCCUGAUCAAGCGCCGCUGCACUGUGCCCAUCGACGAUCCGUUGGUGGCGUUGUACGGCAGCGUGAACCGGGAUGCCGUACAACUCUGACGCGAGGGUCUAGAUUGGCAAUGUCUAGGUUUCGAGGGCAGGUUGGAAGAGGAUCUGCGUGGCUGUACGACGUUUUCCGCUUUUCGGUUGUUAUUAUUGACGCAAAAGGACUGAGGUUGAAAAUAGUUUCCAAAUUUUUCCUCAGAUUUUUCCUUGUCUGGGCUCUUUAACUGCUAUGUUGGUUCAUUGGCUUAGAGGAAGAGGGGUCUCGGAGGCCCCAGGAAAGCGGCAUGGAUGCGCUGGAAGCACUGGAUGCGGCAUGGAAGCACUGGAUGCGUACGUUUCCGAUGUUCCUUAUAACCAAUCAAAACUUACGCCGAAGGUUCCCGACAGCAUCUCCGACUUACCUGAAGACCAGUAUGCAUGUAUCUGAUGCACCACAUGCCUCAAUUUGAGAAAUGCAUGGCUCGAGAGAUGAUGCACUUUUGAUUAUUGCUGCUGCUAUCUCCGUGUCACCUCGUUGGCCAUGACCCUGCUGUAUGCGAAACGACUCGGAUAGGGGGCCGCAACACCGAUUAUCGUUGUUUGGUUUCGGUUGGGGGUUGGGGAUUUGUUGAGGUUUUGUUUGUUGAUUUCGGUUAGAAGUUGUAGUAGUAGGUAGCAAUGACGGCCAGAGCUCCCGAUGCACUCCUAUCCGCCCCAUGAUGGCGUCAUUGAAAUAAUAUGCGCGCUUUGCGUUCCGGUGUGAUAUAGAGGUCUUAACCAUAAACUCAGGAUGUAUUUUUUUGUGGCAAAUUUUGGCAAUAUUUGCACACAACGCAGCAGGCUACGCGACGCUCGUCGACUUCAGGUAUCGUCAGGACAGAAGGGAAAUGGUAAAUAAACUAUUACCGUGAAGUCCCAAAUCUUUUUUGCUGAGCGCCGAAACUUCGCCUGCCGAAGGUAUUCUUUAACCAGGUAGCUUUCCUGUCCAAAUUGCAAAGCCUGCCCUGGAGCUGCCUUUUCAUCUAACUUUCGUACAUAUCUGUCGUACCUACCUGCCCUACCUGCCCUAAAAACACCAUUUUCUCCACCACCAGCCAACAAACGGGGUCUACUGUCCAUACAUGCGUACAAUGUUGCCGUACAAUUAUAUCAUAGAUUUAUAUCUAUUAUUAGAAUUACUAUCUGCCCGGCAUUGACCCGAAACCCGUAAUGCGCUUUUCACAGAGUCCCUCUCUAGGACCACUUGACGGUGAUGUCAAGUGGCUGAAUGUGGCCCCCCACAGCCGCCAAUCCUCUUCCCGUACAGUAUCGUACAGGCCGUUGCCCCCCUCCCCAGCUUAUGCACACAGCGCCAUCAACGAGCAUCAACGUGAUCUCCCUAAGACGCCACGCGCUGGCAGUAUAUGUGCUUUUUAGCAUCAUCUAAUCCACGAGUUCGAGAGAACGCAAACCAAAUUCAGAUGCCUACAAAUUCCCUACAGAUCCCUACGUUCCCUACAGCUUGCUUAUUACCUCAUCCACAUGGUGAUGCUGACUAGGAUGCCACCAUCAAGCCUCGCCACGACAUCACAUUAUGACCUCCCCUUUUUAUAACAUGUCCGUCUAUACAUUAUCCUCCGCUAAAUGAAUACAAAGCCGCCUUCAGUGCCCCCUACUACCGGCCCGUACACAAAUUUGCGCAAUCUGUUAUGUAAACUUGAAAUUAUUUCAGUGCAAGUGAUCUCAUUUCAACCGACUGAUCCCGUGAAUAAUGAGUUCGUUGGCCGUUGCAAUCCAAUCGGUUGAAAACUUGGAAUCGGUUGCAGCCAAAUGACGCAUGGCCCGAGUACGCAUGUCUUUUACCGAAUAACUGUCCAGUACGCAUGACUCAUCGACAUACCAAUGGCUCGAGCAUGUACGAAUAGUUCCAGGAUAGAUAAUUCGUACAAUGUACGAACGUGGGAAGUGUGUGCGCGCGCUAACUGACAACGAGAAGCAUGAAUACGAAUCGUUUCAGCGUACAAAAUCAUCCGACAGGAGUAGCUCCAGUACGACUGAAUGCACGACAUAGCGCUCAACGGCUCAACCGAGCUAUCUAACGGACACCUUACGACACACGCACUCGCGGCGGCAGCAGCGUCACCUUUCCUUGUACGACAUCCUCCACCAGCCGUCGUGCUACAUCCGCCCCUACCGCCGCCACGACGUCCACAAAGCCGGCGGCGGCGGCGGCGGCGUCCAGAUUACCAUCACCGGCACCAACAGCCCCGAUGGCGCGCUUCGAAUGACCAACCUCAACAGGUAUGCUCCGAAAUUCGCUACCGCCGCCGCCGCCGCCGCCGCCGUCAGCACGCUCCACGCCCUCCCUCCCCUCCGCCCGGCUAGGACCAGCAGCGCCUUGCCGCGACUGGUCCUCGGCGGCAGCGCCGCUGCGCUCCGAAACCGGCCAAUGAGCAUUCGCUAGCCGCUCCAUCCACGCCCCACGCAGGUACGGCACGUCGUACUUGGUCUGCGCCGCCGCGAUGCGUUCUCGCAAUGGAUCCAGGUCGACAUCCAGUCUCAGGGGCAGCACGGCACGCAGCGCGGGUGGCCAAGGGGGCAGCCCGAACGUCUCCCGUGCCAGCGACACAGCCGCCGCGGCGACGUGCGACGGUGCCGCGGCGCAACACGCGGGACACAGUAGCGACAGGUGGAGCAGGAAACCCGCCAAGUGCAGUGCCCCCGACGUCGACGCCGACGUCGAUGCCGACGCCGACGCCGUACCGGAAUCCAGCGCCGUCUCGGCGGCGUCGGCAGCCCAGAUGCCGCGUAGGAAGUGGCGGGCAGUGGGCGCCGCCAAAAGUACGGGACGUGUGGUACGGCAGCGGCACUGGCGGCACGGCAGCGGCGGCACCGGCGGCUGCGACAGCUGCUGGCCUACGUUUACAGUCUGUAGUGAACCUGGCGAUGGCCUUCCGAAGACGCACUCCAACACCAAGCCGGUCAUUCGCUCGACGUCUUCGGAGCUGUACACGUCCGCGCAUAGGUGGGCGGCCGCCGAUGCGGAUGAUGGCAGUCGCUGGUGUGAUGACGGAUCUGACGGAUCUGCAACCGGCGACUCUGUUGCUGCCGUCGCCCCGAUCGCCGUCGCCGUCGCCGUCAGCUGCAUGGCCGUGGUCACCGCCGCCGUGUCUGCAUGUAUGUCAAGACUGCAGCAGGGGCUGUCCUGCAAGCGUGGCGCUCCGAAACCUGAGCAGCACGUGUCCUUCGGAGCAGCGCCCGCUUGGUCCUCCAUGCGAUGAGUGAGCAACUGUUGGCCUUGCACCGUCGCUCUCAGACAGCUGAUGCCCACCAAUUGUAACCUGCGGAAAAUUUAUUAUGUAAAGUUUAUAUGGGCGAAGGUUAAAGACGGCAGAGGCAAUAAAUCUUUCGUCUCCCUGAUGUGAGACCAGGAGAGAAUUCGUAAUUGUAUGACAUGUUGGUCCAAAUUUGGAUCCAAAGUGGAUUGCAAAUGCUAUGGAACCGGUGUGGUUGCUAUGCAAACCCUAUGUGGAUCCUAUUUUGAUGCGGUUAAAUUUGCUUCAAUAAAGAAAACCAUUGGUGCGGGAGCGAGAUGAGCAGGUUUUGAUUCUGGAAAUGUUGCGCCAGAUUUUGUAAACCUGGAUCCUGGUCUUCCUGAAUCCAUUGUGGGGUAUGCAAUUGAAAAAAAACGGAACUUACAUUUGGACACUGGUGGGCGGCACUGCAGCUAGGAAGGCGUCCAUGAUGCGUACGGCAAAGAAGAUGGCGGCGCCGUCGAGGCUCCAAGCGUACGAGACCUUUCAGGCCAGAAAGUGUUUGGUUGGGGUCAGCGGCAAGCGAUAUGCAGGGUGUACGGCAUGAAAUGUACGACCCGCGGCAGGUCAAUGUAUUCUGUCCUGUGUCAUGUCAGUGUUUGAGCUUAUUGUACGAAAACUGUAUUUAAACAGAGUCUAAACAAGAUCCAAGAUGUUGGCCGCUUUUCGCCUAGUAGAAAGUUUUGGGUUUUUUCCGUGAUGACAGCGUGUAAGGUAGUCGUACAACUGCCGUACCUGAACCAGCCACUCCACGAGCAUCACGCGCCGCCCCUCUACCAUGUGUUCGUUGAACGUAAGCGAUGGGUCGGUCGUUGCCGCGGAAGAUGACUGGAUCAUCAAGGCGGUCCGCACGACAUGCUGCCAGAACGUUUUUGGCCUGGCAACGCCUUUUGCUAGCGCAUCCAUGGCCACGUCCGCCACUUUUGGCCAGUUGCGAUGACAGAAAGCUUUGAAAGCUGCCUCUUUGAGGUUAAGCAGCGUCGUGCAUGUGGAAAGCGCGGUGCAGAGGCUCGCAGUGUCGGACGCAAGCCCGAGGCAUGUCACCUGAAUCUCUACAGGAAGCUCCAAAAAGCGAAAUAAUGAAUUUAACUUGGGAAAAGUUGUCAUGUGGGCUCGUCAGCUUAACCAGGCGCUGCGACCCACAAAAUUGGUCUGCUCGAUAUGCACCAGCGGACGAAAAAGACUGGAGACAACUGAAAAUUGGAAAUUGCUGCUUGCUUGACAGGUAGAGCUUCGAGCUUACACUGAAAUGGGAUUUGCUGCAGGCGCGAAGCACAACGCAGUAAAAUGGAUAGCGGUAUUCCAGGACUACCAAAAGGCGGGCGCAUAUGCAGCAUGAGAAUUACAAAACGACCAGCACGUGCUAAAGCUUAUUUUGUUAAUGCUGAUUGGAGAUUUUAUACGACGAGUUGUCGACGUAAAUCGAUGCAUGCACACUAUUGAAUUUCGCACAGCAAAACUGAGGCACUGCGAAAAAAACAACUUACAGACGCACAAGGCGAGUGAAGCAAAGGCCCGUGAUAUUGCAAGUAGGCUUUCACAGUUCUGUUUGGGUUGCAUGCGUUUGUGAUGCUUGCAUGGCAACCUGCGACAUGCCAGUAGAGCACCAACGGCCAACCGCCGAUUGUACGGCAAAUUGUCCUUUAAGCAUAACCAGCCGCUGACCAGAUCAGAAUUGCUUCUUUUGCCAAACCAGGAGUGACGCAAGAGUGGCGCAAUGCGAAAGCGUAGGGAAAGAAGCGAGGGGAUCUGGGGAAAAACCGCACGUUAUGCUUUGCAUGGAUAGAGAUUUUCUAACCCUGUUUGAACUGUCAAGCUCCAUUUCAAACAAGCUAUAUAACUUUGUCAGCAGAGAAACGUAUUAACCCAACGCCCAGCAUGCCCUGGCACAAUUUCAUAACCUUUCAGUGGCGACAAUGAUGCACAUCCUGUUCCCAUGGAGUAACAGAUCUUUCUGAAUGAGUUCUUUUGCUCGCCUCUUGCAGUUGCUGGGAGCAAAUUGCUGGUAAACAAAAUCGACUCGUCAACCGUUACCCCGCACGACGAGGGAUGAGCAGGUAUAGGUCGUCUGCCUCUUCAUGGCGUGCACCAAAUCGGUAACAGGAGCGCGUCGUUGCAUGGAAUGCAUGUCGUGCACAGGAAAGCCGUCACGCGUGCGUCAGCUGGUUCAUGGCCAUAAAGAGCACCAAGAUUCGGAGCUUGCCAUCAUUCGCAGAAGACCGCCAGAGUGUUUUAAACGCUUAACUAAUGCUACAUUCAAAUUUCUACUGUCGCACAGUUGAUAUCGACCGUAUGCAAACGACACAAUAGUGCACGGCACGGUACUGAGACGUGACACGGCUUUGUACCCAACAGCGGACAGCUUCCCGGGCGCCUGCAGUAUUCUCUUGGGCGCCAUCUGCUCGAUAGCUCGCAGCGCGUAGAAUAUAAUAGCUGCGACGCGGCACCAGAAGGCACCGCAAGAAGAUAUGUCGGCGCCUCUAGACAUGCACGUCGAUAUACAUCAUAACAUAGAGACACUAAAACACUAAAAACUAAUUUUAUAAUAACAAACGAGACAGUUAUAAACAAUAAUUCAGUUACUUUACACAACAGUCAACACGCCUUAGCACGACCAGAGCACUUCCACGGCCAUGGCCGCCAAAGCCGUCGACACACACACAGGCGACCCGAAACCAGCUUCGGCAGCUCGCUCAACACGGCUGCAGCGACCAUAGCGCCACCAAGCACGCCCUAUCGGCAACUUUGGCCUAGCUACGCCUAGCACUGGACCUCAGGCACCAUGGCCAUCACAGCUACAGGGGCUACCAAAGGAUCAUGCUCCAACAGCAACCGUUGUGCGCCGCCGUUGCCCAUCGCCGAACCGCCGCCGCCGCCCCUCACGGCCUGCUGCUCAGGUCUCCUGCCAAUCCUCCUGCUGACCCGAAACUGCACCUGUCCCACCUGCUGCUGCUGCUGCUGCUGCUGCGCAACCCACUGCGGCGAAUCCGCGCACCCCGCCACCGCCAGAGGCUUCGUCCCACACGGUGAGCCCUCCGCGCCAAAGCCCUCCGGAUAGUCAUCGCCUGCGCUGCCGUCCUGCGCCGUUCUCCAGAGCGCCGACGACGACCCGUGGGUCACGGAUGCCGCCGACGCCGACGCCACCAACGGCAUCAUGACGGAUCGGUCCAACGGCUGAGCAGACAUGAGCAAGGACGCCACAGGAAGCGGCGCUUGGUGGCGGCUGACGGGGGCAGCGGAACGGCUGUGAGUGGAUGAGACGGCCACCGAUGCCUUAGCCAGGCCGCCCAGCUCAUCCUUGGCUGCCGCCAGCAGCCGCCGGCGCUCAAGCCUAGCGCCCAUGGCCUGCCCCGCUAUGGCCGAGCAGAUGGUGAAGAGGAUGGCGUACUUUGGCAUAAUGACCGCCUUCCGCAGCAUUGCAAUGAAGGGAAUGGUCUGUGGCGGAGUCACAUAGGUAAUAUUAUAGGGGGGACAUGAAACAUGAGGAACUGGGGCGAAAGAGCACUGGGGUAGUCUGUGAAAUAUGCGGCGCGAAUCACCGGAUGCACUGCGGUCUAGCCUGCAUGGCGGACGCCAUCAGCACACAAGACGAAAGAGAGCAGGCACGGCAGAGCACACAAGCGGCAGAACGUCAUUAGUUUAGAAACAGCUUGAUAUGUCGAGAUGGCGUGACACAACACGCCAAAAGGAAAAAGAGAAGGUUGCUUUAUAAAUGGCAACUGGAACAUUAAAUAGUGCCCAAGGUUAUUUAGCAGGACUAGACUCCAACGACUGUUGAAUGACCAAUCAACAAGAAACGAACAGCAGCUCUGCCUCAACUGUCAUCCCAAAGACUCUACAGGGCAAAACAGCCGUGACAUCCGCGACAGCUGGCAGCUGACAAAGGACCUCUCCUCACAUCCACAUUCGCGCCACCGGAGCAACAUUGCUGUGGGAAGACUUACCGCGUGAACCGCAAUGAACCAUUGUGAUGAAAACUUCUCCGUGUGCUCCCUCCACAUGCCUGGAAGGCAUCGGGGGACGGGAACGGGGCGCGGAGAAAGACGAACCACAGACGAGUAAAUGAAAUAAAAAGCGUUUAAUUAUUUUUUUCCAAAUAAGCCGAUACCAGGGAUAAGACUGAUACUCCAGGAAUCGGCGGCGGGAACUGGGGGGAAACGAGGGACUCAGAGGGGUGCGGUGCGCAGGUGGAAACUCGAAAUGGUGCAGCAGCAAGAUGACCUCCUCGUCGUUAGCCGGGGAUGUCAAUGUUACACAAGGAUGCCUGCUUCCGUUGUUUGCCACCGCGGGAGAGUUAGCCACUUAGGCGAGGGAAUACACAGAAAAAGCUGCUUCGCGGCAUCUGACCUCUGCUACGCCAUAUGGCUCAUUUGCAGACCUGGCUGUGACAGCCCUGCGCUAUCAUACCGGGGACUAAACCUGGACCUUAUCAAAUCCAACCAAAUCGUAUUCCCGCGGUCUUCCCAGGGUUUCUAUCGUUAGCCCCUUUUUCCAGGCCUGCCAUGUUCUGCUCCACCACGAAACGCACCGCAAGGCACAUUGAGCACAGCGGUAGUCAUAGCGACUGCCAGGAGCUUGAUGGGAAGCGCCUGCGGCCGAAGCUCGCGGACGGGGCGCGUUGCUGCUAGCGCAGCACGCAUCUUGACAAUCGGCUCCGGGCAGGAUAAAUGGCCAUGCUUGUUGAAGACAACGCCGGCUAAAGGGCCCAGAGCUCUUCGCAAUGGGCACUUGCCUCCACCUGUCGUGCCGGCGCCGUGCGCGCUGGCUGAACCCGGGCCUCCCAGCCCGGGACCUGAAAGCCCUCCGUACUGGUUUCCUCUGGGCUGCUGCGGCUGUUGAGGUGGCUUGCGCUGCUGGGCCCGAUGUUGAUUUAGGUGCUUCUGAAACAGGUGAUGAAUAUUGAACUGUAGGGCAAGCAGGGACGACCGUGGAAUCAGGGUAUAUAUUUUGUAAGCCCGGGCACUCAAGGUUAAGCAAGAACGUGAUCAUAUAAGCAAUCACACGCCGACACUAAGUGCCGGUACCAAACAUGACAAGUACACUCCUUACCCAAUUGCUGCCCCAGGACAUAGACAUCGAGGCAAAAGGAGCAGCCGCAAAAAGAGGAGCGUCGAAACUGGAAGUGUCGCUAGUGGGCACCCCAGCCGAGAAAGGGCACCGAGGCCUCUCAGGCUCAGCAGGCGCAAUAGGCUGCUCCAUAGGGUACAGAACUUUUUGCUCCGCCACAGAAAGAUGGGGCAAAGGAAGAACGCCAUUCUGCCCGUGAAAGAGCGCUAACGUCCUAGUAAAGUCACUACCAUCGUCAUCCUCUGUGAGCACGGGACGGUGCGCGCUACCAUGCCCACUGGGGCAGGUCGACUUGCAAGCAAGGCUAGUGGCAUACUCUGUGCCAUGAGUCUGAGCAAUGUUGUGUAAGAAGGGACACUUUUUCAUCGCAUCGCCCAGUGCAUCAGCACCAGGAAAACAAAAGGGCGCCAUUUCGUUAGGUCACUUGCAGAACCCCCUAGAAUGCUUCUCAUGACUUAUUGUCAGUCUCCUUCAUGUGUCCUUUCGUAGGUUUGCGGCAGACUCGUACAUCGUACAUUACAUUGUAUUUAUGGCAGCUCUCAAGGCUCUCAAAUCAUUGGACUCUCUAUCGAUAAUUUCUCCAUAUAAAUGUGCAGUUUUGGGGCGGUUGCGCUGUGUUUGUCAUGGAUGACGUGCAACGUCCGACCUGUGACGCUGCAAACGGUGUCACUCGAACGCUAGCAUCUAGGGAUGGUCCCCGGGCUGAAGGCAUAAUGCCCCACCAAAGCUUACGUGUAAGGGCUAUGAGGGUCUAGAAUUUCCAUAGGCGCACGGUUUGCAAAUUUCCUAAUUGAUUAUAGAAUUUUAAGGGAAAUUUACCGAAUUAGCUUUCCGUGGAUGCGUCCGUGCGAGACAUUUCAUACACCGUUCCAGCACACUGACAGCAGAACGCAACACUGUCUAUGCUCCGAUUCGCAGAAUGAUGAAUUGACUGCAGGAUUCGGAGAAGGCCAAUGCUCGGGAAUGCUUUAACGAGAUGUGCUGUGCUAUAUUGCCAUCUUGCUUGCGCCAAGAUAGGUUUUCCUUUACGUCAUGUUUCAGGGUACCAGAAGCCAGGUCCUUAGAAGGAAAUUUAGCGGGUUUGGCGGGGGGUAAAGAGCGCUCUGCCCGUUCUCGCGGCGGCUUGGUCUACCGCCUUGCCUGCACCUCUUCCAAACGAACUCGACAAAAGCCGCCGUGGUUAAGCCCCCCACCUCCCUUGCCGACCGCUUUAUUCCCCAACCUCCCUGGACCUCUGUCCCACUUGCCACAUUCGCCUCUACCUUGCCACAUUCGCCCCUAUCUAAGCCUCUAGACCACUAUCACCCGGCCAGAGUUUAUACUAUCCGGUACCUCACCCCUUGUAAACUGCUCCUGCCUAAAUCCAACGCGCCCUUGCGUAGGCUCCUGCCCGCCCCCUCGUUACCCCCCUAGCUAGAAAUCCUCUGUCCCGCAGCCACCACCGCCAGCCGCCUCCGCAGCCAAGUUAGAUCGCAGGUAAUCCACAAACAUGCGACGGGCUGCGGCUGCGUCAUGCAGGCGAGCAAACGUAAUCUUGGUGGCGAGCUUGAGGAAGGCGCGUUUGUGGCGGCGCAGCUCCGCUAGCGUCAAGGCGCGACGGAGCUCAAGCUCCAUGGGUGGACCACUGGUGCCCCCACCGAAGCGCACCACCUCGGCGGCGCCGCCGGCUGCUGCGGCCUGUGCGUCCAUGAUGGUGUUGAUUACCUCCUGAAUGUGUGAUGGGUGGAGGCGAAAUGGGGAGGAGCCCGAAAUUAGAAACAUCAGUUGUACACUGCGUACUCCUGGCCGACUAUGGCAGGAGGUCAUCCUCUCCGACUGGUUGGUUAUGCUUUCUUCACAUCCGCCGCAGCAAUCUUUCCUUGGCGUCAGCUUCACUCGCUCGUGGUUCGUCUUUCCCCUCUCCCAUGUUGUCCCCAAAACGAAGAGACAACAGAUACAAAAAGAGCGUGAAAAAAAUCCUAAACCUAAAACGAUCGCUCAACUACAGUUGCUGAAAACGUAGCCGCCCUCCUGAGUCGCCAUCCCUGGCCCCUGCUAUCCCACCACACACCUGGGCCGCCUGGUCUAUUUCAUGCAGAGUGUUGGUGGCCAGUAGUGCGGGGUUGGAGGUCGCCAUAGUGGGGGUCAGGUCGCGGGCAACCUAAGGGAGGGAGGCGGUGUGGGUCGGGUGGAGAGGGGUUUCAGGGAGCAGGGUUGUGGGGAGGUGCCAGAAAGGGCUUUCAGAGGGUAGCAUGCAUGCACGCAGAAGGCAAAAGUACGGGAAGAGAAAAAAAUCGGGACGGGAAAAGGACGGAGGACACAGAGGGUGAUACUCCCACGACUUUCCGGUGCCUUACCCGAGCCUGGUGGUUGGUCUGUUCCUCCGUCAUCGCGCGUACGACAGCUGCCAGCACAUCCGCCUCAGCCUCACCGCCCUCGCCGCAGCUGCUGCAGCCGGUGCCGGCUGUCGCGGAAUGGAGGAGACCCCAGCGGCGACGAGGAAAGAGAGCCACGAGAAACGGCGGAUGUUUGGUACAGGAGGGUGUGUGGGUAAAUGGAUGGAGACUUGGGCGUUCAACGGGUCCUCCUUAGCUCAUAGUGGAUGCCAACGUCUUCACCUUACGGCAGCCUCUCUGAACCCCAAACCUGAUGGCCUCUUGCCCAAACCCAGUACCCUCCUUCCUGUAACCAUGAUGCCCCUUCGCCAGUAAAACAUCAAACACCCAGAGAACCACCUGGGCCCCCCCUUAGCCCCCACUUCCUUGUCCCUCACCUUCCGCCCCGACCCCACACACCUGCCGGGUGCAAUGUGAACAGUGGGGCAUCCCAACGAUUCCGUGAGUCUGGCCGCUCGAAGCGCCCGGCUAGGUCGUCAAAGCUGGAAAAGAAGAAAAGGCGGGAUAAGGGAGUCCAAAGGGCGGCGGCGUGAAGAGGUUUGCGAAGGUACGCCUACAUCCCAAAUGCUGACAUGCUGUUGUGCCAGCCACGGCUUUCCAACCACCAGGACGGCAACGUCCUGUGCCCUGCGGCCCGCUGAGCCUUGAGUCCCAGGACCUCACAUGGGAAUGACCUUACCCGCAAUCUCUUCCAUCAUUACACGGCCUGGCUGUCCUUUUAUCUGUUCCCUGCUGCCACCAUCGCCGCACCGACCAGUGCUUUAAUCUCCUUUUCCUAACACACCAUCUCCAUUUUCCUGCCUGCCCCCCCCAGCCAGCCUUCUGCUGCGGCGGAUGGGCGGGCCCCUCCCCUUGCCAUCCACUCUUCCUACCCCUCCUUAUCACCCUGAUCCCACGCUUACAUCUCGUAUUCUUCUUCUAUACCUCCCAAGAUGCAGAGGACAGCUACUGGCACACAACGCGCAAACAUGUCUGUAAAUUUCAGACAGCUGCGUCAUUGCCUUUGCCUUGGAGCCUUGGGCAGUUUGCGGCUUUGGACAGCAGUCCGGCAUUUGUUUUUUGGACAGCAGCCCUUCUUGACUUUUAAGAUGCAUGCCUUCGCCCUCUACGUUUCCCUCCAGCACACUACGUUUCCCUCCAGCGCACAACGACUCCGCCGCCAACAACGUCACCUACAUCUCCUGGCGAUAUCGCUCCGAUUCGGGUCGCGCCGCGUUCCAGGCGCUGCACGUGGCCACAUCCGUGUCGACAUGUACCUUGCGGCGGUGCGAGGUCGGCGGGUUGGUAGCGGUGGCGGAGGUGGGUUGAUGGUGGUGGUUGUGCUGAUGAUGAAAAUGAUGUUGAAGAUGGGUCGGUCUAUCUGCGGCCGGGAGCGCGCAGCAGCACAGGGACAAGAGUGGAGCAGGCGGAAAAGGCACGGGUGCUUGCAUUGGGGUGCCGGCUACAUGCUCGAAGACAAAAAUCGGAAGUUUGAAAAAAAAAGACUAAUAAGCGAGAACGAUAUGUCGAGAAUGAACAUCGAGUGAGGAUGCUGUCGGGUGUUGAGAUGAGCAGAUGGAGAUACGUCACAAGGCUGCGUCCAAGGGAAAACGACACGGGAUUGGGAAAAGGGCACAAGGCCCUCAACCCUCAGACGGACCCGCACUAAUCAAGCGGCAACCCAGCCGACGGGAUUUCUUGGCAUGGCACGAUCAAAGAGCCAAUAUGUCCCAUGGUCCAAAAGCAAGGAGGAAUUCAGGUGAGGAGGUGGCAGCGCGGCAGGCACGGGCUUGGCAUUUAGGACGCCCAGACGUCCAUCGCGCCUCGGUGCAGCGGCUUCUCAAGCGCAUGUUCCCGCGCCCGUAAAUGGAACCGUGCCAGUUCAUAACAAUAUUAGUUACUGCAUAUAAAUUUUACGUACCAUUGUAUUUAUGUACUGUUAUUAAGUUACUUAAUUUAAUCUCUUCCCCCAUCCAUGCCAGAGCCACCCCAUUCGUGUCGUUCACGUCUGGGUCCAUGCAGGCAUGUCGGUAUCUGAACUGAAUAGGAGCAUGUCCAAGUAGUAAGGGAGCAGGGCUGGAGCGGAUUGCUCUCACACCGGGGCUGUGCUGCCUUGGCCAUUGAAUCAGAGGUGCUCAUGUGUUUCAGAUUCAGACAGGAAAGGGGAAGUUAAUUAACGGCCUAAUGGCCGUGCGCGUGCCGUGCGUACCUGCAGGCUUUGUGGCUGCGGAGUAAUCGAGAACAAGCUGCAUGGCUUUUGCAAAUGCCCAGCCUAUGGCCUUCCAGAUACAUAUGAGGGGGCCAUUGGCUUCCGGAGGCGCGAAAUGCUUAGUACUAUUAACGCAGAUGCCCAUAGCCCAUAGCUGUGGCUACUUUUUUCUCGGAGUCUGGGUCGGCUUUUAUAGACGCCCCCUGCAUUUGUGCGGAACUUGCAACUUGUCUGGGUCCCUGUCUCACGUCCAGGAAACAGCGGAGCCACUCUCCCCGCUCCACCAUGCGUUCGUCUCCGUUUUUCACCGUCCUGUCCCGGACGCCCUCUCCUUUCCCCAAAUCCCCUUUCCUCGUACAAUACUUCCAAGCACGUCUCACCAUGCAAUACCUCGUCCCCGCCGCUCUCGCGACGCACCACAGCUCGUACCGGUAUCCCUAGGUGCAGGACAGGGUUGCAGGGCAGGGGACAGGGGACAGGACAAGGAAGAUGAGCGGAACCGGAGGGCAAUGGGACGGAUUUCGGGAAGAAGGCGGGCGGAGGGCCGUCCCGUGUUGGGCAGGCUGGGAAUUACAUGCAAAAGUCAAAGAAACAACUGCAGGAGGCAGGGCGCGGCAGGGUGUAGUAUCAAGGUUUUAAGUUACUCAACGAUCCAUCAAGUGUUGAAUGUGCGAACAAAACCAUGAAAACCCUUAGUCAUGAGCCCUACAGCAAGCGCCUACGGCAGUCUUCCCCACCUUAAUGUUAUUAAUCGAGUCCAAGAUGGUGACGCUCUUACGCCCCACGAGCCGUUCCACCUGCGAUUUUAACUUGGCCCGAGUGUUCUUCUCGUUGACAACACCUGUACGGGAAAGAGCGAGAGGGGAUAGGGCUGGGGUUAAGGAUGGCGGAAAACUGCAAACCCAGGUUCAGGAGGGUUGCGUGGGUUUUACGCGCCCUUAGGCCCUUCGCGGCGGGACCGGUAAUCCUCAGGCAUUGGAGGUGCGUGGGUGCGUGCGUUUCAAGGAAAAAGCACCCCAGAGGAUGGGACGAGGAGCGAGGAUGGGACAUUCAUGGGGGAAAAGGGUGGAAAGGGGUGGAAAGUCAAGUCUAUGGAGGGAAAGGGUGGAAAGUCAAGUCUAGAAGCCACGCGGCCACAAUGGCGAUGAAGGGGAACUGAGUAAAACUGAUGAAAUUGAGGCGACGGGGAAGCACCUCGCAGAGAGCACCGCACGAAGGGAGUAGUAGAGGUAGGGGAGAACCAUGCCCCACGGGUAGGAUACCCGGGGGGAAGACAGGUCAUGGAUUUACUACAUGGGAAGAAAGACGCCGAACUAGGGACAAGUAAUGCCGCGGCGACCGCGGAUUUCGGCGUGGAAUAGAUGCUUCUACAGGAUCGGCCACCCAUACGGAGUUGUUUGGCAGGCUUUAAGGGUAUUACGCUUCGCAUAUAGUCUUGCCUUGCCUUCUCCCUCCUCCUUUGUCCGAAGCUGGCAUAAAUUGCCUCUGCCAGCCUAGGGCUGUUGCCGUCCCCGUCCUUCCAUAUGCUGCGUAAAGCGGUUCCCGCCACCCAGGGGGCCAACCCCACACCCGCUCCCACAAUUAAGGUGCUUCCGAGCUAUUGAAACAUAAAAACAUGACAAGAACAUGCUGAUCCUUGCAACGCGGAGCCGCCAUAUAUGCUCAUGCCUUGCCUGUGUACGCCGCAUUUCGGUCCAGAUGCAAAGAAGGCUCAUCCACUAGCUCCACGGGAAGACCAACUUCUUGGAAUAAGGGAAGCAGCUUAGCAACUGUGCUGCUCUUGCCGGAGCACGGCUGCCCACAGACAACAACUAGGGGCAUCUGGAGUGUUCAGACAACUGCCAGUGUUACCCCUACAGGGCGCGUAUUGCAUAGGAGAGUGCAAACAUAAAGAGAAGUGUAACUGUCUAAGCAAAAUGACAUUACGGGCAACGGCGUAGCUUUCUUUCUAUCCUGGGUACGGCUUGCUUGACCGACGGGGACCGAGCGGCUCGCCGAAUUGGCCUGUUGCCAAGCUGAAGUAAACAAACAUCUUUAGGCAGAAAUGCAUCCGUGUAUGUGUGGACGCUCCGUCCUGAGUAGUCAAGUCUCCGAGGCCUGAUCUACGAAGAUGCUUGACACUUUUUUCAACUUCUUACCUUUACUAUUUUGACGAGACCAGGCGGCUUAGCUACGUGCUGAAAAGUUUGAAUUUGGUUGUCAGCUCGGACUUGGUGUGCGGCAUCUGCUUUUCAGCCUCAGAAGGUCGCACUGUAUCAGGGUUCAGGCGUUUGGCGUGGUAAGCAACCAGCAGUUAGGGUUGCUCUGGCCAUAAACGCUCGGUGGAAGUGCAGUGCGUCUCCGGCGGACUGCGCCUGCGUCAACCCCGCCAUUUCCGCUUUGUCAACGCCGGGGGCGACUCAGCUCCAUAAGCGUUGCUGGUUUCCAGGCAUUUAGGGUGACACUGGGGACCUCUGGGAGCUCCCGCAGCCCCGCAAGGCCAUGGGGUAGUGGGCUAGCCGCUGAGCGCGGCGCAUCUUGUCCUUACGUUCAGCGCUCCUGAAGUGCUGGCGUGGCUUCCAGGAAGACUGGCAAAUAUAGCAGUUACAGCUUUCACCGCUGCUCAUUUUCCAGACCAGUCUGCUGUUGGCGACUUCCGUGAGCUCUUGUCCCGGAGCUCGGCCAGCCUGGCAGCUUUUUAGCAAGGGAGAAGCCCGUUACCAUGCAGCAGCGGACAACGGGCAGCCUCGAUACCCCAGGCGCAAUGCCUGACCCGUUCAAGCAGCCGACGGAGUACUUGCUGGCUUUUCUCAACCGCAUCGCCAUGCUGGACAAGGAGGGCUUCUUUCAGCGACCAGUCCGCGAAGAGGAGGCGCCAAAUUAUUACAGCAUAAUUAAGCAGCCAAUGUGCUUCGCUGAUAUGCGUGAGAAGAUUGCCGCUGGUUUAUACCAGACGUGGCGGCAGCUGCGGGAUGACUUCAACCUCAUCCAUGAGAACGCUCGCCGGUUCAACUCAAACAAAACGCUUGUGCAUAGGGCAGCGUUAAACUUACAGAAAAAUGGUAACAAAGUCUUGGCUAACUAUGAGCUGGAAGUCCGCAAAGCUAUUGCGGUGCUGCACCCGCUCGGAGCCCAACAGGCUGCAGGGCAGGCUGCGGGGGCCCAGGCCCCGGCUUCCAGCGCGUCGGCAACAGUUACUGAAGGACGCAUGGACAUCGCCACGUCUCCGAUAGGCACCGCAACUGUAUCCGGUCUUCUGCAAGCGCCAGAGCAGAACGGCGAAGGGAUGGGUUUGGACGCUGCCGUUCCGCGAACCAGCAUGUCCGGACCACCGUCACCAGAGGGCGGUGUUGACGGGGCCGGCUUGCCGAUGACCGGGUCGGGUCCUACGACAGGCAAGGCGCGACAGCCCUUCCCUGCCAUAUUGCUUCCGCCGGCGCCACGUGAUCCGCUAGUCGGCUACAUAUCCGAUGAAGAUGAUCAGCCUUUGCUGGUUGUGGGUACGGAUGCUGCGGCCGCGACAGCGGCUGCAGCGGCCAGCCGAAGCCUGCCGGGGCUGGGACCCUCGCACGCACUGCCGUUGGACGCGCUUCUCUCGCAGCUACGGACAGCCGCCGUACGUAUCCCAUAUUCUUGUCCUAAGAGACAGAAAGGAGAUGGGCGAGGGGGCGGCGGCGGUGGUGCUUCAAGUGCGGAAGGCGCUGCGCAGGGAGCUGCGGGACAAAGCACGAUCCCUGUACCCAGCCAGGAGUGGCGGCAGGCACGCCGGCCUGUAGAGCUCAGAGCUCGUUGGUUAGAGCUGCGGAUGCGGGAGCUCCGGAGCCAGCAGGAGCGAUUACAGACCCAGAUCAAUUGGCUGCAGCAGCGGAAGGCAGCGGGGGAGGAGGGCAUCGUCGGCAAUGCGCUUAAUGCGGGGUUGGGCCGGCCCGCAGUGGGGUUGCUUGCGGCGGCAGCCGGCCUGGCAGCUGCACCGUGCGGCGCGGAGCGGGAAGCGCUGGUCUCUGCAGCAGGAGAGUUCAUGUCUGCAGGCCGCGUAUCUAGCUCUCUCUACUUCCGGCUCCGCCCGUCGACGCAAGGCCCAGCUGCGGCCGCCUCUCCGCUGGUCAAUGACGUCUCGACGCCGGUGGCUCAAACGGACGCUCCUGCUGACCCACCCCAGGCGGCCGGCCCCAAUGCCGCCGUCCGUUGUGACUCCGACCGCCAGCUGCAUGCUUCAGGUUCCGGUGUUUCAGAUUCGGGCGCUUCAGGGCGCUCUGAGGAGCUCUGCCGCACGAUGCCGCCACCCAAGCCGCCGUCGCAGCCUGGGCAGCCCCAGGCAGCCUCACUCAGGCAGUCACAGUCGCAGCAGGGUCCCGGGCGACCAGCAGUGCAGCCGCUACCGCUGCUACCGCAGCAGCUGCCGCCCUGUGACGAAGGGGAGUCAGACAAGAUGCUGUCAGGCGCAAUCUUCGCGUCCCUGGAGCUAUUGGAGCAGAGGCUUUCAGUCGUGCGAGCGCGGCUGCAGGAUACGUACAAGUUUGACCCCACUAGGCUGGCCGUGGGCCGGACGCACGGGCCUUGUGCCAGCCGUGUCCCCAGCUACCAACUUGCAAGCUCGGGUUCGUUGGCAACGGCAGGAGCGCCAGGAACACAGAUGCUGCCUUCUGGGCCCUUGGCCGGCCACGAAGCUGUCAAGCGGCAGUCCAGCGGCCAGGGCCGGCGGCCGGGUAGCCUGACGGUCCUGACGCGCUUUGACUCGAUGGGCCUGCCCAGCUGCAAGAGCACUGGCACCGGAGGCAAACGAAAACGCAGCGAGGUGGAGCUGCUGGCUGGCGACAUAGGCACGCCAUUGGCGUCGUAUGGUCGUACGUCGCUGGACCGGAGCGCGGUACGUCAGGGAACAUGGGCCAGGCUAGAUGGCCGAUACGGUGGCCAGGGUAUUUACUGCGAGCUUAGCGGGAGAGAGAUGAAAAGCAGGUGGAGCGGACAGCAGAAGCGGUUAUGUAACAGUGGGAUCGUUGAGAGGUAGCGCUGAAUCCACCAGCUCCGUCUCGUGUGUUGCCGCUUCACGGCUUAUGAAUCCUUUAUGAAAGGCGGUUGCUGUGACCUAGAAGGAGGUAGUGCUAGCACUGCGUAUGUGCCGUAUGCUUUAUGCCACUGUUUUGCUCAAACCAUGCUCAUGUCCCUUAUCAUGUCCUGUCGUGGUUCACGCUGCGCAGUCCGUGACCGCCAUUGUCAUUCCGCCUGUCCGUGAGUUGGGCCCGGAUGAGUUCCGUGCGCGCAUCGUGGCGGCAACCACUUGGUCUCAGCACUACCAUACGACAGGUAAGUUCUCUGCAUGUGGAGCCGUUGCGGCAAAAAAUACAAAGGCGGGCGUAGACAUUACCCAGCCUCGAAAUGAGUCGGUUGUAAAAUGUGGUAGGGACAGCGGUCAGCUACGCCGCACAUCCAGACCUGGUUGACUGGCGGAGCCUAGGUUAACUACAUUAGUUACAACGGAGUUGUGUUUUGAUGCGCAAUGCAUGCUCUACGGCGAGGACUUAUCUUGGGAUGCUGACUGGGGCUGUACUCCGGCGGAGGGAAGACAGGCUUAAAACUAGCAUUCUGUGACCGAGAGCGUGCAUUAGCCCCUGGCAUUGUCGCUUUAGAAGGCUACGGAUAAUGCUUGCUGGAUUGCAUUGUGAAGCGCCCUAUCUGCUGGAUCCGGCGUGCAGGUCCCGCUGCGCUCGAUACGGUCCCUCCGGAGAUCCAGGUAGUCCUGCGAAAGCGACGCCGAAGGGGCCUAUGCGCGUCUGGCGAGGAGUACGACGAGGACAUGGGCAUGGGGCCCGGCGCCGGUCGCGGUGUGCUGAGCACGUCGGACGAUGAGGGAGGGGCGGUAGUCGGGGGUGGCGUGGGCGGGGGAGCUGCUGCUAUCAUGGGGGCCUACAGCGACAGCGGUGCUGGCGACGACGAGGGGUCCAGCAGCAGCAGUGAAGACACCAGCGACGAGGCCUAUGCGGCGCGGCACCGUAUUAUGGAAGAGGAAGAGCAUCGGCGUUAUGCGGCGGUAGUCGCAGGUGCGUACGGCGCUGCGUGCGGAUGCGUGGCACCAGUCUGUUCAUGGCCUUGGCGAGAGCAGGCGAAGCAGGGUUCUCAGGGAUAGUUAGGGUGCGUACGGCGCGGGUGUACGACCAUCUGAGCCCAUUAUAGCUGUACUGUGCUGUGUAUGUGGUGUCGGGUACUACCCCUUCUGGUCACACGUGCAUAACAAGCACACACCGCGGUCAGACCAGCGGGAACCAUGUCCGGAAAACGAUGGUUUCACCGCACAAUCAUCUUGCUGGGCUUUGCUCCGCGGCAUAUAUCAAACUUGCUGCUUGCGCCAUGCACUUGCAGAGGGCCAGCGGCGCCGUAACAAGGGAGGCAGCAAUGCCUCAGGCGGCCAGCAGAACCAGGCUAACAUGGCCGGUGGUGGGGCAGCGGCCAGCCAGGCAAAGGAGCGUGCUAAGGUUGGCAACAAGACCCCGCGCUAUAGCAGCAGCUUUAAACUUAAAGAAGGGCUGACGCUUGUAUCACCAGAGUUGCAGGUAGACGGCCCGGACAGCGCGCCACCGUCCGCAACGUACGGCCACUACCAACCGUACCAACCGUAUCAACCGCCAAUGGUGGGUAUUACGGCGAUGCCGCCCACACCCGGCUCGACGGCGAGCGUUCCGGUACUGUCCCAGCCUGUCAUCGUGCAACAGGCCGUCGCGCAGCGCACAUCGUCGCCCCCUACUGUACUGCAGCCGUCGCCAUCCGGCGCGCAAGGCCAAGCGCUGCAGCGGCCACCAUCUCUGCCGAUGACGACGGCGAUGACGACUGCUGCACCUCUGCCACCAGCAGCAGCUCCAGUGUCGGUGUCACCGGCCGCACCGUCAGGAAGGCCUCCGUUGCCACAAGCACAGUCGCAAGUCCCACUCGAACAGGUAUCACAACCGCUACCGUCGCUGCAGCACAAGCAGCCUUCUGGUCCGCAAGCUUCGUCGGUACAAACCCCACAGCAAGCGGUCCCGCCGGUAGAGGGCAGGACAGCAGCUGCUGAUAUUGCUGCUGCAGAGCUGCCGAUUACUUUACAUUGCCCAUCGAAGGCAAAGCCGCAGGAGCUGACGCCCUCGGUACCGGUGCUUGCGCCGACUGAGGCACGGGAGCAACAAGGCCAUUCAUCACAGCAGCAGCAGCAGCAGCCGGGGUCCUUGGAAAUGCAGUCGGCAGAUGCGCAGGAGCAACUACCACCACCUGCCGUUGGUGGCCAGCUGGAAGUAGCGCCAAGCGUCCAAGGACUUCAGCAGCAACCGCAGCAGCAAGAAGGCCAACCCCAAACGCAAGUCGGGCAACAACAGCAGUCGCUGGCAGAAAAGCCAAAGCAGCCGUCUGGGCCAAAUGCCGCGGAGCCCCAAUCCUCCGCCGCAAUUGUUACAAAGGCAUCUGUAGAGUCCUCCGCAAAACUUACCAGCAAAACGGAGGAAGCGGUUGCGACGGCUGCGGCAGGCUUAUCGGUGGAAGCUCCGCCGACUGAAUCUGCAGUGGUCCAGACGGCAAAUGCCGGGGGAUCGGGCGCUGCAGAGCAAACAGCACAAGAGUCAACUGCGAAUCGCAGUGAUCAUCCGCUGCCAAACGCUGCUGCAGGACAGCUGCAGCGUGGCGCCACUAAGCAGGACUCCACUCCCGCGACUGCCGCCUCUACCACCGCCGGUAACGGUGGCGCUGCUAACCUGGCUGCCGCGACCGGGGCAGCUGCAACUGCUGCUGCAGCCACGACGGAAGCACAAACGAUUGCGACGGGGACAUCUGGGGCAGUUCCGGCUGCCGUGGCGGCUUUAACAAGCCAAGCGCAGCCACUUGCAAUGUCCGUUGGUGCGUCGUCAGGCGCUGGACCUGCGCUGCUCAGCAACUCGGCGGCGGCAGCCAUGCUUGCCCAGUCCCCGGCGAUGUCGAUGCAGUUCCUGACAAGUAUGCAAGGUCUGGGUGGCGGUGCAGGCACCGGUGGGUCCAACAAUGCGCUCACGGCCGCUGCGACUUCCAUCCUGCUCGCUGCUGCCGCUGCAGCAUCGGCAGGUGGCCAGAACGCCGCUAACAACCUCAUGGGCAACGCGCGGACCAGUGCAUUGCAGCAAUUGGCGGCUGGCACACCUGCGGCGCAGGUGUUUGCCAACGCGGCGGCCGCUGCGGCAGCGGCAGCGGCUGCUGGUGGAUCCGUUGGCGGCCUGGCGCAGCAGGGCAAGCAACAACCGCCACUGUUCUCAACUGCUGCUGCGGCCGCUGCAGCCGCCGCGUCCUCGCGCGGCAUACCAUUAGCUAGCGCCUUGCAAAGUCAGGCAACGGGCGGUAUUGGGGGCCUCGGAGGUCUUGGUGGCAUUGGCGGCCUGCCCGCUGCCUUCCAAUCGCUCCAGGGCUUCCCGCAGUCGUUGGCGGGCUUUAACCUGAACCUUGCGGCGGGCGGCGGCGUUGGGCUCGGCCUGCAGACGUGUCAGCGGCUGACGGACGGGCUGGCCGGCAUGGGCAUUAUGGCGCAGGGGCCGCACCACCUGCAGGCGCACCACCACCUGCACGGCGUGCAGCUGCCCGCGGCGGCUCAACCGCGGCAGACGCAAACGCAGGGUCAGGGGCAACAGCAAGCAGGCCAAGCGGAGGGUGGCCGCGGCGCGGGCCGCGGUCGCCGCGCCAGCCGGACUACAGUCAUGGAGGAGGAAGAUGAGGACUGGGAGGAUGAUGACGACGAAGAGGAGGAAGCCGCUAGCCCCAGUGCCCGGACGCGAAGGUCCGCAAGGGCGGCGCGACGAGGGAGCAACGGCGUACGGGGUUUGGAUAAUCAUGGGAAUGGGGGACCGGAAGGUGCUACACGCCAGCCGCGGCGCCGGGCGGCCAAGGGCGCGCAUAAUUGGGCGGUACUGCUGGCGAGCGAGAGCAGCGAGGAGGAAGAUGGGGAUGAGGAGUGGGGGGCACGUAACGGUCGAAGGGCCCAGGAAGGUGGGGGCCGGGGGCGCGGCCGCGGCCGUCGAUCAGCUGGCUAGGCUGGUGGUUAGGGGACGCUUCGCGAUGAUGCAGUGCUGUUGGUGUGGUCUGACCUCGAAAAUCUAACCGUGUCAUUGGGUUGGAAGGGCGAUGGGAAAGGAAAGCCGAGUGAUUACAGGCGGCGACGGUUUCUGUCUCCUUGGGCUGACGGGUGCUGGGGGGUCAUGCCUUGUUCCGAGUCAGUUCGGGGAGAGUGUGAGAAGCCUGAGACCCAGGCCGGGGUGAGCCUUUGUGGCGGGCAGCUACGAAACAGGCUGGAGGCUACAUUUGGGUGACACUGCUGCGUUGCUACGGUGUGCUUUGCGUUGCUCGCUGCAACUGUUCAAUGAAGAAGCUUUGUUUUAAAACAUAUGAGGCCGGCUGUUGCCUGAUUCGCCGUCAUGGUGCCUUGAUUGUCAUUUGGCUUGUUCGACGUUGUGGCGAUGGGGUUUUUACGUAGGUUGUUGCUGUGGACGUAUUUCUUGGUCCCUCUUCGCGAGCUAAUUUUGCUUUGGUGGUCUGUGUGAUAAGUUUGACCGCAUUCUCACGUGAAAGCCGUUUUGACCAGUUGGUCGGGGCUGGGGUGCGUGCUUGGGUUGUGUGUAUCUGGUACCAUGACUUGGGUGGGUGUUGAUAUGCUAGUGUGGCGUCACACCGGGGCGAGCGCUCGGGACCGGAUACUGUCUUGUCACAUGCAUGUGUGUGUGUGCGUUACAUGGUCGUGGGGCUGCGUACCCCGUACCUGCAAACCGCCCAAUACGAGCCGAGGGCUCAAGGGCUGCCAGAUCGCCUUUAAGCACUAUUCUACCUCCCACUCCAGACAAAGCAAGUGAUAAGGGAGACUAACGACCAAAGCGAACGAUAGAGUUGCGGUGGGACCACAUACGCUCCAGCAUCUUUGCCAGGCGUUCAGGUUCCCACAUCAUAGUGUCUUUCAUAUCCUCAAAGCGUGGGAAAUCCAUAUCAGAUUCGCCGUACACCGGACAGUCCAACAAGACAUGCUUCUCAUCUUCAAUUUGGCUAUCAGUGCCGCAGCAGGGCCAUACCAGCUCCUCCCUAGGUACAUAACGCCGCCCCUUGCGUUCUCUGUUCGCCGCCAACGUCCAACAGCAAGGCCUAAACUGCAUCAGCUUACAAUUCGCUGAACGCGGGAUAAGUGUUGUAACAUGCGGGAGCACCUCCUUCCUGCCCGCUUACUCAUCCGCCAGACCCAUCCAAUGCUUAUACUUUACCGUGUGGAUUCCCGGGUGCUUAUGGGUACGUGUACACGUCUGAGUGGACAUCUAGAUGCGUACGAUUCCAACCGCUCAUCAACCGAUCCUUGAACUCCGAUACCACACCUUCCGGCAAUGGCCUAUUAAUCAGCCAUUCCACUUGUUCAUCUGCCUCUUGCAGCGCCUCUUUCCAUACGUCAUGCCCAAGAAAAUUCAGAAAACGGAGGAGUGGUGACCCCAUUCCGCCCCCUUCGGAGUUAAGAGCCUCUGCGAUCUCCUGUCGCAAAACUUGGUGUGCCACAGACCCACGCUGUCAACAGACUCGGUUCCAAAACGUCACAAUCUGCUUGAAAACGUGGUUAGUGUAGAGGAAGCCGUGACAAUUCAGCGAACAGGAGGCGGCGCACUGGUCUGUCAGCUCCAACACUUUGACGCAUGAACGAUGCCUGGAGCUGCACCGCUCCACCUUUCAGACAUGCCUCGAAGGGCCCCUCAGCAAGGUUACUCGGAUGACUUCGCCUCUGAGCCUGUCCAAGACUUCAACCAAUAUAAGCAAAACCCCCACACUUGACAACCGUACAACAGUAUUGCUCGUACCUGAGUAUCAAAACACCUCAUCCUCACAUCCAUGGUGAACAACUUAGCUUAUCCAAUGUUGUACUCAGCACGAACAUAGCUGCCCUAGCUAUGUCGUACAACUGCUGGCGGCCGGCACGAAACGACCGUUCUGGUCCAUACACUAUACCCAGAUAUUGCGCACCCUUCUUAGCUGGUACGGCACCACCAGCCAUCCUGAGCUCACAACACGAUGCUUGAGCACCACUCCUUGCGUCGCUGUCACUCGCAAAAACGAGGUCGCACCCCAAAUUAUUUACAAAACAUGUCCACGAUUUUGAGCAGCUCCUGUGUCGUUGCCAGGAGGCUAACGUCAUCGGCAUAGAGGAGGAUGGACACUCGCUCAUUGCAAACCUUCGGUGCAUCCCCUGGCCGGGCCCCCGCGGUGUUAACACCCUCAUGCAUAUUGAUGUCAUCGGCAAGGGCUUAAAUGAAAAGUCCAAACAACUCAAUUGACAGCGGACAGCCUUGUUUCACUGAACCCUCUUUGGGCUCAAAUUCGCCCCCAGUCCUGCCAUUCGUCUUGAUGACCAUUGUAAAACCUUGUCGUCGCCCUAUUUAUGGCCCCUCCACAUGACUGAUGGGACCGAAGGCCCCCGAGUGAUGGUUGGUGAGCCGUCUUAUUGACUGCUCACCGACGCAAGUACGGCAAAGCGCAACAGGUAAAGCGUGGGCCCGAUCGCGAGUACAGAAUUACAAAGGCGAACGAUAACAAAUAGGCGAAUGAGAGCAAUGUAACGGCUCAUGCUCGUUACAGGUCGAGUGAAGGUGUGGGCGAGGGGACUGUAUGAGAACGAGGUUGGCUUGGACAGCAACCCUCGUAACGCACGCAACUCAAUGCAACGCAACCCUCGUAACGCACGCAACUCAAUGCAACGCACGCAACGCUUGCCCCCCCUUCUAUCUGACACUUCAGCAUGACGAAGACACGCUAGCUGUUUGCUUUGAGAGAUAAAACGGUGUAAAGCAUAACGCAACCGAUUACCAGAGCCAAAUCCUUAACCGCUUCAGAACUGUUACUUACUAGAUGCGAAUUUGAUGCAAAAUUGGCAUCACAAGAGAGGCUGUUGAGGCCGUGCAGAGGGGAAAUGAGUUGACAAGGGUUAACGCCCGUACGAGAAAUGGCCGCAUGAGGUCGUUGCCCGAUUUGCUAUCCCAGGCCUACAAAGGUGUUUUAUGUUAUUUGCUUUGAUCACAGAGCUGUGCUACGGAGUUCUGAUCAUUUGGAAGGCAGUAACAUUAUAGAUUGAUUAGCCCGGUAUACCCCCCAUUACGGGCUGUCAGAGGAAGCACAUUUUUAGAUCGAUUAACGAGCUCUGUAUUGUUUCAAAAUGGGGGUCAUUAAGCGAAGGGGAGCCGCUCCGACAACGCCCCCUGAUCCCUCGCCGAUGAAGGACGGCAGCUUACGUAGGGAAAGGUAUCCUUCGAGCAAGCCUGAGUUCUCCCUUGGUGAAAUCCGCAAGGCCAUUCCGGCGCACUGCUUCAAGAGGUCUGCAGCCAAGAGCCUGAGCUACUUGGUCAGUAAAGGCGGAGUACUUUAGGUCUUCUUUUCACUCGUUUUCCAUUGCUACUGAAAGCAAGCGGCUCCUACUGCGCCACAAAACCAUAAAAUCGAGCUGCUUGUACGGUGCAGGUCGUCGAUGUGCUGCUUUGCGGCCUGAUGGCUUACGCAUCGAACUGGAUCGAUCAUCCAGCUGUCCCAAGGUGUGCCCUUUCUCCAUAAGUACAUAGUUGGUAAUCAACACGCACUGCUGGACGUAAGGCCUGGGUUGUAUCCCAAAAGAAUGGUUACACCUACGCAGAGGUUGAUAUAGUGAGGGCGGGGCUAGCCACCGUCUCUCAGGAAGCCCGCCAACCUCUCUUUCCGCCAGCAAUGCCUUAAAUGAGUCCCGGACCUUUUCUUACCUCUGAAGUAUGGACGCAAUUUUUGUGCGUAACACGUUGAAGUGGGUAUAAUCAACUUGCGGACUCCAUGUUCAAUUUCUUUUGCCCGUGCUAGGUGGCUAGCAUACGGUCUUCUGUGGCCUACCUACUGGUUCUGGCAGGGGGCUGUGGCCACCGGCAUCUGGGUCAUCGCGCACGAAUGCGGCCACGGUGCUUUCUCUGAUUCGGAAACCCUCAACGACGCCGUCGGUCUAGUCUUCCAUUCGCUACUGCUGGUGCCCUACUACAGCUGGUAAGAGGAGGGGGAUUUAUGAGGGAUGUACAACGGGGGCCCCGCUGCAGAUACAGUGGCAGCCAUCAAGUGCCUAAGCUUUAGGAAGGACUGUAUUGCGGACACCGCAGGAUUUCCCGGAUCCUUGGCCUUAAUGGCCAGAUGGGUCCUUCCCCCCAGACUACCCACGCUGCAGUGCUAACGUCGCCGCCGUCCCCCGUCGCCAUGUCCCAAUGUCGCUGGGUAAUGUAAACAGGAAACAUUCCCACCGGCGCCACCACCAGCACACGGGUAGUACCGAUCUCGACGAGGUGUUCGUCCCAACCAUCAAGCCGCCGGGCAGCGAGGUACGUCGGAAGAAGGACAAGCAAUGGUUGGUUAUGGCAUGAAGUCGGGCUGCCUGGCUUUUGGGGAGGUUCUGCCAGAAUUCCAUCCUUGUCGCCCCCCUCACCCUCUUAAGUGCUAUUUCACAUGUCAUACCUUUCCCUUUCGACAGGUUCCCUGGUACCAGAAGAACCCCAUCUACAAGGUGGGUCACAUCUUCGUGCAGCAGGUGCUAGGCUGGCCACUCUACCUGCUGUUCAAUGUGUCGGGACACUACUACGACCGGUGAGCUGUGGGUGAAUGGGUAACGGAACAGUUGGAGUGAAGAAGGGGGAAGUUAUUGGUGGGAAGACCUGGAGAGGGGGUAGCAGGGGGAAGGGAAGGGGGAAAGGCGAGGGGGCAGCUGGAGGGUUUGUGAGAGUAAGGGGAGGUAGGUGGCGCUGGAGUACUAGUACUAUACGAUGAGUGAAUGCAAGAAAAGGUCACCUCAUCAAAUCAUUUUUAUUCUUUGCUAUAUUAUCCCAGCAAUUUGGAAUGUUUUUGAUAUGUGAUGCGAAUGUCCUUCCGCAGCUGGGCAAAUCACUUCGACCCUUCCUCGCCCAUCUUCACCACCAAGCGCGAACGAAUGGAAGUUAUCAUCAGUGAUAUUGCGCUGGUGGCCGUGAUUGGCGGCUUGGGAGCUCUAUCGCGCGCCUUUGGGUUCCUGUGGCUUCUGAAGACCUACCUCAUUCCCUACCUAGUCGUGAACCACUGGUUGGUGAGUUCGUACAGCCGUUGCACGUAAUGCCGUACCUGGGUGCCGUACACGGAAGCUGUCCAAAACAUGAAGCGGGGCCAGACGACAAGGGUGUUCAUAGCUGUGUAGUGGGGGUGAGGAACUCACCCGAAAUGACACAUGCCAGCCUCCUUUUACUUUUUUUUGUUUCCUGAACCCAUCCCCACGUUUGACUCCAAUUUCAUUACAUAACUGCUUUCGUCUCAUAUUGCACCAAAUGACUUUAAAGUGUGGCGGCUGAGAUCCGAGGGGAUUUGGAGGACCUGAAAAGCUUAAACAUAAUGCAUAAAGCAGCCUUAGCAGGGGAUAAAACUAUACGGGUCGAUAACCGUCGUGUGAAGAAAAGAAUAAAGGUAUCCUAUCCUAAAUCACAAUUGCACGUCAUGGCUUAGGUUAUCUCAGCCAUCCUCAUCACCCCCACGUAAUCGUGAAGGAGCGCGAAGGAGAGUGGGUAUAUGUUGCUUCCACCUUAAUGGACUUUGUGAAUUCUGCGAAUCUUGGUCCCGCGAAUCCGCGUUGAGCCUUUACAUUUUCUUUUCCCGGUGCAUGUGAGCUCUCCUACAACAAGCCGCCGUGAAAAUCCAUCCGCGUGCGCAAAUCCUCAACUCCGUUAUUCCCUCCAGGUUAUGAUCACUUUCCUGCAACACACGCACCCUAAACUGCCCCACUACGGCGAGGGUGAGUGGGACUGGCUUCGAGGUGCCAUGGCCACCGUUGACCGUUCGUACGGCAUUCUGGAUCACGUGUUUCACCACAUUGGCGACACCCACGUGGCGCAUCACCUGUUCUCGUACAUGCCACACUACCAUGCCCAGGAGGCAACCCAGGCGAUCAAAAAGGUGCGUGUGGGUCUGCAGAGCUGCGAUGAGGGAAAUGCCGUUGAUGGUAUGCGAACAAAACGUUACCGCGCGUGUACCACCAUCGGCAUUCCCCUCGAGCGAAUUAGUCCUCCGUAGUCUACGACGACGUGUAUAAAGGAUGCUGCAACAAUGGAGUGAUGACAAGAGCCCGGUGAUUGUGUGUUUGUGUUUGUGUCUGUCGAAGCGCAUUGUAUGCUGGACCCGUGACGCGAGCUGCGUCGAAAAGCCCUUGUGGAUGCAAAUAAGUACCUUGUGACGGCAUCUCCGCGCAGCUGAGCGCAUACAAUGCAAUACGCCGUAUCGAAUUAUGAUAGCACGAGUUUUUGACCAAAGCGAUUCGCCACUGUUUUGGUUUUACGUCGGUCAUAUGCUUAUGCCACGUAAUCUUUGCUGACGACGGGAAAGGUUCAACUCAAGUUAUUGUGGGAAGCAGCUAUUGCGAUGCGAAGCCAUCGGCCGUUGGUUGCCUCGCGUCAAGGCAACAUGUCAUCAGCCAACCCAUGCCGUCACAGUCGUGCCGUACACUACAUUUGCUGCUGCCCUCACCACUGCCGCCUCCGCCUGCUGCUGCUGUCCUCAGGUUUUGGGCGAUUAUUAUGCAUAUGACAAUCGCAAUGUGUUCCGCGCGCUGUGGGAGGAGCUGGGCUCGUGCACGUGGGUGACUCCGGAUGAGAGUGGCCCCGAGAAGGUCUACUGGUACCGCUGAAGAUCCACCACCGUGUGUGUACACUGCUGCCGCUGCUGCUGCUGCUCCUGGCUGCUGUAAGCGUCGCUGUGGGAGGAGCUGGGCUCGUGCACGUGGGUGACUCCGGAUGAGAGUGGCCCCGAGAAGGUCUACUGGUACCGCUGAAGAUCCACCACCGUGUGUGUACACUGCUGCCGCUGCUGCUGCUGCUCCUGGCUGCUGUAAGCGUCGCCGCCGCUAUCACGACAGUCAUUGUGCGGCUGUGGCCUAUCGUGAAAAAAUAGCCGUGCGCGCUGCCUAAAAUGUUUCAUUUAUGCGUAGUUGUGUCGCUGCUGUCGAGUAGUAUUAGAAAGAAAGCUCGUGUGUGGAGGCGUGUUUGUAUGCCUGCCUGCCAGGCUGGCAACUUGCAUUAAUAGCGGAGUGGAGUGUUAAUGCGUGUGUACUUUUUUGUGCAUUUUUUGUGUGUACCUGUGUGUAUUUUAUGCAGAGGGUUUUCGGUGACAGGUUCUGAGGUGCUGACGUCGUUUUCCCCCUCUCCCGCGCGCGUGCAGUAGCUCCAACGCCCGUUAUCUUUCGGGAUUGCGACAGUGGUAGAUGGGUAGAGAUGUAUGUUUAAAAGUGGUAGAUGGGCAGAGAUGUAUGUAUUGAAUUGUAUAGAUUGUUUUUCAGUGAGUUUUAUGCGAUGCUACCUUUACGGCCGUGCAUGCAAGCUGUGCUGAUCUUUCCUGCGUUUUGUUUCAUCUUUGGAAGAUAACUUGAGAGAGGCGGUGCUGUUUCUGUUCUCUGAACCGUCAGGUGGAGGAUGAUGUCGUGAGGAUGAUGUCGAAUGAUAGCGUCAUAUUUUUUGAGUCGAGCUGGUUGGUUCCUUCUAUGUGUGUGUAAACAGAGCGUGGUUAGUUAAGAGAUAGAGCGACGUGUAUGAUAUCUACGCUACCUGUAUGCGUCGUGUUUGUCGAGCAACAAUGCGUCUGGUGCUUCCAGUGCGCUUGACUCCUGGCGGAAACCGUGUCUUGUCGUACAGAAGUGUUCGGCGGGCUAGAGAUUAACAGAGUGUUUUUGUGUAUAUGCUCAUUUGUUUGCAUAAAUUUCCUGCCUCCGUUAUAUGCGUUAGCUGUAGGGUGUGUUAUGGAGAUAAAGAUGGUGUGUAAAAGCCUGCACCUACGUUGAAACUCAUUUUCCUGAUUGUUCAGGCUUGACUUGAACAUGCUAUGACAUUUAUAUACGUCGGUACAGGUAUACGUCGGUACAGAAUAAUGCGACACGUUCACCUCCUGCAUGCCCAAAACCAUAAGUAACAUACGGCGUUUUUUAAGCAUGGCUUUGUCAAGAGUUUCUGAACAGUCCAGACGGAACAAGGAGUGUGGAUAAGCAGGUAAAAGCACCAAACUGGCCAAACCUUGCCCUGAACACAUCGCCCCAUGGGCAAAUAGUUUGUCAGCUGCAGUUGGUAACAUCCUCAUUUAUUGACAAUUUUAGCACGACGGAAACAAUGCUCAGCACCGUAAGGCCAUGACAGCACGGAUAAAAAACAGUCCGAAAAACACCGUCACGCAUCACUGAACACAAUCAUGUGCUACCCCCAUUACACUGUGGGCGGCUCGCCCCGAGAAAAGGACGAGCACCGGGCACGAACUAUUGACUGCUGGUGGCUCUUGCUACCGUGGUGCCGCCAGUGUGGUGUCGCGCUCCCUGUAGGUUGCGGUUUCCUCUUCCACCACCGUGGGGCCGGCCUGUGCCCCUAACCCUUGUUGAGCUGGUGUCCAUGGGACUAUUUGAGCUGCUGCCGCCGCCGUGGGGCCCGCCUGUUGUGGGGCCAGUGGUGGCGGCUGCCUCAGCAAGGGUGAUGAUGGUGGCGGGGCCCGCAGCUGGGACGGGGCCUGCAGCUGGGGUGAGGCCUGCUGGGGUCCCACCAUUGCAGCAGUUGCAGGGGCCGCCUGUCCUGGCUGAGCAGGGAUCACGGGGUUGCUGGCUGCAUGAUUGGUAUCUGCCAUGGCGGCUGGGACGUUUGCGGCCGUGGUGAUGGUGGUGGCGGUUACACCAGCUACAUUUGUGGUGGCGAUGGCUGAUGCAGGCGGCACAGGUGGGGGUGCGACAUAUGGCUGCAGCUCCGGGUUGGGCCCCCUCCCCAUGGGCGCUAGCUGGGGCCCUGUUCCCAUGACUGGCUCCAUGCCCCAUCUUGGCCGCAUCACGGCCGCUGCAUACGAGGGCCCUCUCCACCGUUCGAGGGGCAUGGUUGGCCCGGGGCAGCAACAGACUGUGCAGUAUGGCCCUGCCGUCACAUUUGCUGUAACUGCUGUGUCUGGCGCGCCAGCUCCUUCCGUGGUGGUGCUAUGCACGGCAUAGUGAAGGGUCCCUCCUGAUCGUUCCGUUUCAGUCUGGAAGCCCUCAGUACGCCGGACGUGGUUACCUCCCCCGCCCUGCCGAGUUCGUAGUGUUGCUCGCCCGGUAGACCAGGGGUGUCCUGCGCCACCUUGAUUUGCCAGGUGUCUGCCAUCAUAGUGGGAUUCAGCUCAUGGAUGUCUGUUUCAUCCCACCUGAACCGCGGGGUGGAGUAGCAGAGGGCAAGGAAUCCAGGGAUGGCUCUAGGGACCAGGUUGGUGGGGAUCCCCUUGAUCUCCCAGUGGGGGCGUUCUGCCUUGUAUAGGUUCGUGAUGGGCAGCUCCACUUCCACCGGUGGGCUGCUGGGUAGGAGUUGGACUGGCCCCAGCUGGAGCCGUCCUCCCCGGACUGCUGGCGAGGUGGUAAGCAUUGCCAGACCACCUUUCCGGAUCAAGAUCCUGAUCUCUUGCACCAUCACGCCGCUGGGGAGUGCCCGUUGCGGGCAUUUGCCGAUUCGCGGCCCGAGCAGCCCCUCUGCCUCAACGGGCGGUAUUAUCGCCCGUAAUCUGUUUAAAAUGGCCUUGCCCAUUGGUCCAUGUAGCUGGGCUUGUAUGUCCGCGGGGUCGGAACCGGCCGGCCAAUGGAUUUCCAUGGUAACCUGGUCCUGAUCCAUAUAAAGUGGGGUUCCUUCUGGAACCGUGUCCAUUAUUAUGUCGAUGUUCACAAACUUUCGUUCCGCUUGGGAGCGGCUUGGUCGUGGGCGAGCAGCUGAGGCUGUCGCCCAUCCAUUUGAACGUUGUUUUGGCGCGGAGGUCCGCGCCUGCCCAUUUUCCGCCAUUCUGGUCUAUGUUAACUCAAGCAUAUUUUGCGAGAGUUCUCCGUUUUUGCCGCGGUCGGCGAGGUCAGCCACAGGCAGUUCGCGGUCGCGUUUUAACGAAUAUUACAUUUGCUCAUGUUGUUGUUGUUGUUGCUGUUGUUGUUAUUGAAUGUUACGGAGUGGGAGGAUUCAGGGCACUUGAACACAUUGUCAUUUCUACGACUUAUCACCACACAGCAUCAUCCACCAUUACCACAAUGUACUACGCCUUACGAACUGCCAAGUCCAAGGCGGGUUUGAUCCUGCCUUCUAGGAUCCCUUCUCAUCCAGUCACCCGAACAUCCGCAGCGACAGAGGGUUGAGCAAUCGCCACCAAUCCGCGUGCAGAACUCGGUCCAUCAACUGUGACCUCAACUCCACAUCUCAGCAGCUAGCCAUAAUCUCACGCUCCCGACAAUGUCGGGGGUCUACCCAAGAAUUUCAGCGCAUAUGGCAUUAGUGUCACCAGAAAGAUGU